UACUCGAAGAUCACUGUCACUGCUGAGACUGAGCACCUGAACCUAUGUCACGAUGAAAUAUAGAAUACAAAAGAGUAUGGGAUUCAGUACUUAGGAAUGUACUGAGUAUGUGGGGAUGGAUGCAACAUUUUAAAUAAUAUCAUAAUUGUAUAAAAAAAUGAUGCAUGCUAACAAUAAUAGCUCUCGUCACUUGAAUUAUCUGAAACAUUAUUCCCAUAAAUCAUCAGUAAUAACACAUGCUUCAUAAAUCCCAUAAAUCAUUUAACUCAACACAAACUCUUUGAUUCAUGACUUAGAGUGGCUCGGUAACUCAAGAGACUUAGAUCAUUAUGGACUUGGGAGUUUCUUAUAACCGACAUAACUACACCGUGUGAGCCGCAUGGAUUCCAACGUUUUUCCCUCCUAAGGAGGGAUCCCCACAUUGGCAGGGGUGUUGUACUCUUUCCAGAGGGUACAAACUCAAUCUUAAUAUCACAAUCUCAUACUCGGACUUUGGCCCACAAUUAUCAACAUCAAUCCUACGAUCUCACGAAGUUCUGGAGAAAUACCAAAUUUCCCGCUCGGUGCUAAAAGCUCCUCCCAGACUCAGCUCAGAACGUGUUAGGAAAUCCACCUUAAUCAAUAUCAACUUAUGGGCCUAUCAUGAAGCCCAAACCAUAUAUAUAUAUAUAUAUAUAUAUAUAUAUCAUCUGUGAAUCAUAAACAUCUUGUGGAUUCCUAACUCAACUCAACUCAACACAUACUUUCUCAAUAUCAAGUGCAUUUGCUUAUCAAAUCAUUUCAAAUAUCAAAAGCUUCAAGGAAACAUCAUUAAACCCAUUCUUGACUUUCAAUCUCAAAUAUCGACAUAUAUUCAAUAGUCAAAUUUCUCAUGGAAAGGCAUAACUCGUGACACUUGUCUUAAAUUGCUUAGAAAUCAUCAAUACAUAAUGACAAUAUACAACUCAUGGAAUAAAUUCUCAGUUUAAGAGACAUGAUGGUGAAAUAAUCAUAAAUAUCAAACUUAUUAAACUCAAAUCUCAUAAAUCAUAAAUAAAGAAUUUUGGGUGUAAACCCACUUGCAAAAUCAUGCAAAUAAAUAAUAGAAAUUUAAUCUUUAGGCACAAGAACGAAAGGAGUGUUCUUGUUCAAACCCUACAUACCUUGGAUUUUGAUUUUGAAGAUGUAGCAACUUGCUUGGAACUUCUUUCUCACACUUUUAGACCAAGACCUUGUUUCCUUUGACUUGAGGAACUUAGUUCUUGAGCAAAUUGAAGAAAUUUAUGGGAGAUUUUUUGAAUUUCUUGGAAAUGAUUUGAUUUUUGGGUUUGGAAGAAUCCCUAGGUUUCUAAAGAAUUCUUGAAAGAAAUUUGAAGAGAAAUGAUAUUCUCUUCUCUACAUGGAUAUAUAUAUAAGGCCACAAGGAGUGGAAAUAACCAAGAUGCCUUUUAAAAAAAAUUGAAAAUUACAGAUCGGGGCCUGUGACGGUCGAUCUGACGAUCCAUCAGAUGAGCUGACGGUCCACCAGGUCGUCCAUCACUCAAGUGUAAAGACUGGAAUGCUCUGCCUCAGAGUGAUGGUCAAAGUGAUGGUCCAUCAGAGGGACUGACGGUCCAUCAUAUCGUCCGUCACUCAAGGCUCAGGAAUGGGACAUUCUGCCUUGGUCUGAUGGAGCCCUUGACAGUCCGUCAACUUUGUGAUGGUCCACCACUUUGGCCAUCACAUAAAGGCCCCAAAAGGGAGCUACUGCCUUGGCUUUAUGGGAAACUUGAUGGUCCACCAAGGACCUGACGGUCUAUCAGGUCGACCAUGAAACCUGGAUGAUCCGAUAGCAUUAAAACGGCCAUAACUCAGUCAUCCGAUAUUGGAUUUUGAUGAAAUUUGUAUCGAUGUAAAGCUUAUUCAAUGAUAUACAUGAAAAAAAUGAAAAUUAGAGAAAUACAACAUGGUUUAAACAUCAAUCACUUUAGAAGUCAUACAUAUCCAUUCAAAAAAAUAGAUUUAAGCUUAAGGAAUGAUUGGGGUAUUACAAUAUCUCCCCCUUGGAAACAUUCGUCCUCGAAUGUUACUGGAUAGGCCAAGAACAAGAGAAAACAAGGAUGCACAUCUGGAACUACUUACAUAGAAGGGCUCACUUUUCUCUAAUACUCUUGAGUACUUUACGAAAUACACGAAUCAUAGAGGGAAUAACCAUAUAGCUGAAUGCAUUAGAUUAGGAGAAAACUUAAUUAAGAGUAUAGUACCUUCAGCUUGAUUUGAACUCAUGGGGAAAAGCUAAGGGUACUUGACUUGCAUAUCUACUUCUGCUUCCCACGUAGAACUCUCGACUGAUUGAUUUCACCACAGAAAUUUGACCAAGGGAACUUCCUUAUUUCUUUGUCUACGGACUCGAUAAUCUAGGAUUUCAAUCAGGAUUUCAUCAUAGGAAAGGCUAUCUUGAACAUCAUAACUUUCCGAUGGAUCAACAACAACAGAGUCUCCAAUGUGCUCCUUGAGCAUAGAGACAUGAAAUACAGGAUGGACAACUGACAACUUUGUCGGCAAAUCAAUCUCAUAAGCCGCUUUCCCAACACGAUUUAAUAAGCGCCAAAUACCUGGUGGUAAGUUACAAGAGUUUCACCCCUUUCAUGGGUGAAAUCUUCAAGUAUACUAAAUCAACUUCAAACUCAAGAGCUCUUCUUCUCACAUCUGCGUACGACUUCUGACGACUUUGGGCUGUCUUUAAACUUUCCCAAAUCAACUUAACUUUCUCCAUAGCCUCAAUCAUAGAAUAAGGUCCAAUCACAGAAGCUUCACCCACUUUGAACUAACCUAUGGACGAUCUGCAUCAGAUUUCAUACAAAUCUUCAAAUGGAGCUAUUCCAAUACUAGCAUAAAAGCUAUUAUUGUAAGAAAAUUUAAUAGACAGCAAAUGUUCAUCCCAACUUCCUUUGAAAUCAAGAACACAAGCCCUCAAUAUAUCCUUCAAAGUCUAAAAUAGUCCUCUCAGUCUGCCCGUCUGUCUGUGGAUGAAAAGCGGAGCUAAGAUGAACUUGGGUGCCAAGAGCCUUCUGGAAGGCUCUCCAAAACUAGGAAGUAAAUUGAGUACCUCUAUCGGAGAUGAUAGGUAAUGGAACUCCAUACAACCUGACUAACUCUUGAAUAUACAGCUUAGCAUAGUCCUCAGUGGUAAAAUAUGUAUGUACUGGCAGAAAAUUUGCUGACUUAGUCAACCUGUCUACAACAACCCAUAGAGAAUCAUGAUGACAACGAGAGAGAGGUAAACCGAUCACAAAAUCCAUAUUCACUUCCUCCCACUUCCAAGUAGGAAUACUAAAUUCUUGCAUCAUACCACUAGGUCUCUAGUGCUCUAUCUUUACCUGCUGGAAAGUAACACACUUCUCUACAAACUUUGCUAUCUCCUUCUUCAUACCAUUCCACCAAUAAAUCUCCCGUAAAUUACGGUACAUCUUGGUAGCACCGGGAUGAAUAGAAUACUGUGUACCAUGUGCCUCAACCAUAAUCCUCUACCUCAGAUCAUCAAUAUCAGGCACACACAAACGAUUCUGAAAUCUCAAUACACCAUCUCCCUCUUGGGAGAAAACCUCCAUCUUUUGGUCUUUGACGGACGCUUUCAAUUCGGCCAAAUUAGAAUCCAUAUUUUGCUUCUCUUUCACUUUCGAAACUAGGAAGAUACGGAGCUACUCUGAACCUAAACACUACCCUCAGUUGAAUCGAUCAAUUUGAUACCUAACCUAUCCAAAUGAUGCACUUCACGGACCAACUCCCUCUUAUCUUCCUGAACAUGAGCUACACUACCCAUGGAUGAUCUACUAAGGGCAUCCGCCACUACAUUGGCCUUUCUCGGGUGAUACAACACACUCAUACCGUAGUUCUUCGGCAAUUCUAACCAUCACCUCUGCUGAAGAUUCAACUCUCUCUGAGUAAACACAUACUACACACUCUUGUUAUCCAUAAAGACAUCAACAUGAACACUGUAUAGGUAGUAUCUCUAAAUUUUCAAAGCAAAAACCACAGUAGCUAACUCGAGGUCAUGGGUCAGAUAGUUUCUCUCGUGAGGUUUCAACUAUCGGGAGGGCAUAAGAUAUAGCCUUACCCUUUUGCAUCAACACACAACCUAAACCAACUUAGAAAGCAUCACAAUAUACCACAAAAUCAUCUACACCAUUAGGUAGGGUCAUUACGGGGGCUGAAGUGAGUCGAGUCUUCAAUUCCUGAAAACUCUUCUCGCAAGAAUCUGACCAUUGAAAUGUAAACUUCUUUUAAGUCAACCGAGUCAAAGGAGAGGCAAUAGAAGGGAAACCUUCGACAAAAUGAUGGUAGUAGCUAGAUAGACCCAAGAAACUCCUAAUGUCAGAUGAGGAAAUAGGUCUAGGCCAAUUCUUCACAGGUUCUACCUUUUGAGGAUCAACUCGAAUACCAUUAGAAGAAAUAAUAUGACCUAGAAAAACAACUGACCAAAGCGAAAAUUCACACUUGUUAAAUUUAGCAAAUAAUUGCUGAUUUCUAAGGGUCUACAAAACAAUUCGGAGAUAAUUUUCAUGGUCGUUCUCACUUUGGGCGUACACAAGAAUAUUAUCUAUGAACACAAAAAUGAACAUAUCCAGGUAUGGUUUAAACACCUGAUUCAUGAAGUCUAUGAAAGCUGAUGGUGCAUUAGUUAAUCCAAAGGACAUGAACAAGAAUUCAAAAUAACCAUAACAAGUGCAGAAAGCUAUUUUUGGAAUGUCACUCUCUCUGACUUUAAGUUGGUGGUAAUCGGGUUUCAAAUCUAUUUUCGAGAAGUAGCUAGCACCUUGCAGCUGAUCAAAUAGGUUAUCAAUUCGAGGAAGAGGGUACUUGUUCUUGACUGUGACCUUGUUGAGUUGACGAUAGUCAAUACACAUGCAUAAUGGACCAUCUUUCUUUUGUACGAAUAAAAUGGGCUCUAGGGAGACACACUGGGCCUUAUAAAAUCCUUAUCAAGAAGAUCUUUGAGUUGCUCUUUCAACUCCUUAAGUUCUUCUGGGGCCAUCGAUAUGGAGGAAUAGAAAUAGGCUGUGUAUCAGGGAGAAGAUUAAUUCUGAAUUCUAUUUCUCUAUCGGGAGAUACCCCUGGGAGAUCUUCCGGGAAAACAUUAAGAAACUCAUUAACAACACUAAGAGAUUGAAUAGUUGGAGCGUCAGAUUUAGUGUCCCUAACUCGAACCAAAUGAUAGAUACAACCCUUGGAUAUCAAUUUCCUAGCUUUAAGAUAAGAUAUAAAAUGACUUUUAGGAGACACUGAAUUUUUGGACCACUCAAAAGCUGACUCAUUAGGAAACUAAAAUUUGACUACACGGGUACGAUAGUCUAUAGACGUAUAGAAAGAGUAAAGCCAAUCCAUACCUAAAAUAAUAUCAAAAUUAACUAUGUCUAGCUCAAUCAAAUCUGCAAACAUGACUCUAUGAAGGAUAGUGAUAAGACACUUUCUAUAUACUUGCUUGGCAACAAUAGAUUCACCCAUGGGUGUAGAGACUAGAAAAGUCUCUGGGAUCUUUUCAGCACAAAUUUCAAAAUUCAAAGCCACCAAUGGAGUCAUAUAAGAAAGACUUGACCCAGGGUCCAUCAAUACUUACUCAUCAAAAUGAAAUACACGGAGCAUACCAGUAGCAAUAUCUGGUGAUUUCUCCUACUCCUGGUAGGGUCGUAUAGCAUAAAAAAGAUUUUGGCGCUGACCGCCGGUAGCACUAGAUGAGGCACCUUGAGGAGGAGUAGGACGAACUACAGGGGCUGGAGCACUAAUAGUCUGACUCUAAGGACAAACAUUUUGACUCUCCUAUAUAGCAUGCGAGCAAUCCUUGAACCUGUGGCCUAUCUUACCACAACUAAAACAAUCUCUCUGAUCGAAUAAGCACUCACUCGGAUGGUCCCUACCAUACUUUAGGCAUGGGGGAGGGCAAAGUCUGUUACUCACACUAUCCUGGGACCUGGACAUAGUAGGCCUAUUACCCUGCUCCAACCUUAUUCUGAAUACAGGAGUACGGGCUAAUGAAGGCACUGGUAUAAGAGAACGACUCUGGAACUGAGGACGGAUCCCUCUAGAAAAUCUAGUCUAACUAUACCCCUGCUGCUCAGAUCUAACUCUCUUAUUUCCUCUUAUUUUCUCUCUCUCCUUCACUUUAUCUGCUUCAAUUUACUGAGCAUGAAUCAUUAGUAUUGAAAGGUCCAUGUUCCUAUUAAGCAUAGCAGAUCUACACUAUUUCACAACAUAACUAGAUACACCAGCCAAGAAAUUACUCAUACUAGUUCUAGAAUUAGCCAUCAUACCAGGAGAAUAUUUAGAUAAUUGGUUAAACUUAUGGCAAUACUCCUUAACUGUCAUGGAGCCCUGUCUCAAGUUCAUAAAUUCUUUUAAUUUCGCUUCUCUCAGCUCUGGGGGAAAGAAUCUAUCUAAGAAGGCAUCCUAAAAUAAUUGCCAAGUCACAUGAGCAUCAUUCUCCCUUCUACUUUUCCUCCACAUCUCUAUCCAAUCAUAAGAAUAUCUUUCAUUCGAUAGGCAGCCAAUUCAACACUCUACUCCUUAGUCACAUGUAUAAUCUGAGUGAUUUUUCUUACUUUAUCUAAAUACAUUUGUGGAUCUUUACCUACUUUCAACCCAUAGAGCUCAGGUGGAUUCAUUCACAUAAUGUUGUGAACUCGGGCAGCAGCAGAAUUAAUCCCUUGCAGAAGUAAAACAGUAGCCUGGGUGUUGGCCUGAGUAUUGGCGAUGACCGCCUGGUCUAGCGCUUGGAAAACUUCCUAGAAUUCUACGUGGGACACUGUGUCACCUAAAGGAUCAAUGGCUUGAAAUCAUUCAUUAUUUCUACGAGCUCUAUGAGGAGGCAUUUUCUGUCAUAAGAGAGCCCGAAUUAGCAGCAAAGAGAAAUAGUCAUAGGCACGAUAGACUCUUGAAAGAAGGAAAUAACUUUUCCUAAAAUGUCUUGUAGCCUCUUGCUCAUAGAUGUGGCGCUCUACACACCGAUGAUCAAGACUCUACGUAACACGGCUUGUCAGACUCACUAGGACUCUUCAAACCUUAGGCUCUGAUACAAAGCUUGUAACACCCCAAGAACCUAUCCCGAGAUGUCACAUAGUACUCAAGGCCAUAUGUGGCCUCAAGCUAACCCUCUAAGCCUGUUAUCACUUUCAAAACUCACUAUAACGUAAAUCAUAUUAAGAUAAUGAGGAAUAAAUAUGUCAUGACCAUACUUAGAUACAAAAUAAUACUAUCUUGUACAACCAAAAUACUAAGAUUCUAUACAUACUGGCAUACUAGUCUGACAAAGCCUCUACUACAAAAGAUUGAGGAGCCAUUGGGAUAGAUCCCCAACUGACUCAUACUGAACUGAAAAUAAAAAACCAUCUAUUAGCAAGAUAAAAUAAGAGAUAUAGGUCCUUGAACCAUGAAGACUCACCAGCUAUAGAAAUGAAGAAGAAGGUACUCGAAGAUCACUAUCGUUGCUGAGACUGAGCACCUGAACCUAUAUCACGAUGAAAUAUAGAAUACAAAAGAGUAUAGGAGUCAAUACUUGGGAAUGUACUGAGUAUAUAGGGGUGGAUGAAAUAUUUUAAAUAAUAUCAUACUUGUAUAAGAAAAUCAUGCAUACUAACAAUAAUAGCUCUCGUCGCUUAAUUAUCUGAAACAUUAUUCCCAUAAAUCAUCAGUAAUAACACAUGCUUCAUAAAUCUCGUAAAUUAUUUAACUCAAAUCAAACUCUUUGAUUCAUGACUUAGAGUGGCUUGGUAACUCAAGAGACUUAGAUCAUUAUGGACUUGGGAGUUUCUUAUAACCUACAUAACUACACCAUGUGAACCGCAUGAAGUCCAAUGUUUUGCUCUUCUAAGGAGGGAUCCCUACAUUGGCAGGGGUCUUAUACUCUUGUCAGGGAGUACAACCUCAAUCUCAAUAUCAAAAUCUCAUACUCGGCCUUUGGCCCACAAUUAUCAACAUCAAUCCUAUGGUGGCACGUAGUUCUGGGGAAAUACCAAAUUUCUUGCUCGGUGCUAAAUAAUCCUCCCAGACUUAUCUUAGAAUGCGUUAGGAAAUCCACCUUAAUCAAUAUCAACUCAUGGGUCUAUCAUGAAGACCAAAACAUAAUAUAUAUAUAUAUAUAUAUAUAUAUAUAUAUAUAUAUAUAUCUCAUUUGUGAAUCAUAAACAUCUUGUGGAUUCCUAACUCAACUCAACUCAACACUUCCUUUCUCAACAUCAAGUACAUCUACUUAUCAAGUUAUUUCAAAUAUCAAAAGCUUCAAGGAAACAUCAUAGAACCCAUCUUGACUUUCAAUCUCAAAUGUCGAUAUAUAUUCAAUAGUCAAAUUUCUCAUGGAAAGGUAUAACUCGUGACACUUGUCUUAAAUUGCUUAGAAAUCAUCAAUACAUAAAGACAUUAUACAACUCAUGGAAUAAAGUCUCAAUUUAAGAGACAUGAUGGUGAAAUAAUCAUAAAUAUCAAACCUAUUCAACUCAAAUCUCAUAAAUCAUAAAUAAAGAAUUUUGGGUGUAAACCCACUUGCAAAAUCAUGCAAAUAAAUAAGAGAAAUUUAAUCUUUAGGCAUAAAAACGAAAGGAGUGUUCUUGUUCAAACCCCACAUACCUUGGAUUUUGAUUUUGAAGAUGUAGAAACUUGCUUGGAAAUCUUUCUCACACUUUUAGACCAAGACCUUAUUUCCUUUGACUUGAGGAACUUAGUUUUUGAACAACUUGAAGAAAUUUAUGGGAGAUUUCUUGAAUUUCUUGGAGAUGAUUUGAUUUUUAGGUUUGGAAGAAUCCCUAGGUUUCUAAAGAAUUCUUGAAAGAAAUUUGGAGAGAAAUGAUAUUAUCUUCUCUACAUGGAUAUAUAUAUAAGGCCACAAGGAGUGGAAAUGACCAAGAUGCCUCUUUGAAAAAAAUUGAAAAUUGCAGAUCGAGGCCUGUGACGGUCGAUCUGACGAUCCGUUAGAUGAGAUGACGGUCCACCAGGUCGUCCAUCACUUAAGUGUAAAAAUUGGAAUGCUCUGCCUCAAAGUAACAGUCAAAGUGACGGUCCAUUAGAGGGACUGAAGGUCCACUAUAUUGUCUGUCACUCGGGGCCAGGAAUGGGACAUUCUGCCUCGGUCUGACGAACCCCUUGACAUCCGUCAACUUUGUGACUCUCCACCAUUUUGACCGUCAUACGAAGGCCUAAAAAGGGAGAUAUUGCCUUGCCUUGACGGUCCACCAAGGACCUAAUGGUCUAUCUGUUCGACCGUCAAAUCUGGGCGAUCUGAUAGUAUUUAGUAAAACGACCAUAACUCACUCAUCUGAUGUCGGAUUGUCAUGAAAUUGGUAUCGAUGGAACUCUUAUUCAAUAAUCUACAAUAAAAAAGUGUAAAUUAGAGAAAUACAACAUGGUUUAAACAUUAAUCACUUUUUAAGUCAUACAUAUCCAUUUAAAAAGACAGAUUUAGGGUUAAGGAAUGAUCAGGGUAUUACAUGCAUCAACUUCUUUAGCCCAUCCAGCCUCUUCUCAGGGGAGUCAGGCUCCUUUAGACCAUCCAUGCUCUACUCAGGGUGCUUCAUCCAACACUUUUGGCGGUCAGUGCUAGAAUAGAUUCUAUGCUUUUACAUCCCACCAAGUGUAGGAGGAUUCUCCAGAUGUUGUUACUGGUAUGCUUCGUGUCUUACAUUUUGAUGUGUAUGUAUUAUUGGACCCUGGGUCAAGUUUCUCUUAUGUGACCCCAUUAGUUGUUGUGAAUUUUGAGAUAAUUUUUAAAAAGAUCCCUGAGCCUAUCAUGGUUUCUACCCAGUAGGAGAGUUCGUUGUUGCUAAGCAAGUGUAUAAGAAGUGCCCUAUUACUAUUCUUUAUAAGGUUAUAUUCAUAGAUUUGAUAGAGUUUGAUAUGGUCGAUUUUGAUCUUAUUUUGGGUAUGGAUUUGCUUCAUUCCUGUAUGUGUCUGUAUACUAUUAUACCCGUUUGGUUAAAUUUCAAUUCCCAAAUAAGCCAGUUUUUGAAUGGUCAGGCAAAUCUGUAUCUCCUAAGAGCCAUUUCAUAUCCUAUCUUAAAGCCAGAAUGCUAAUUUCCAAAGGUUGCAUCUAUCAUCUAGUUUGAGUUAAAGACACUAAGUGUAAGACUCCAACUAUUCAGUUAGUCAUUAAAGUUAAUGAGUUUCUUGAUGUUUUUCCAGAAGAUCUCCCAGGGGUACCUCUCGAUAGAGAGAUAGAGUUCGGGAUUGACCUUCUUCCCGAUACAUAGCCUAUUUCUAUUCCUCCAUAUCAUAGGGAACCCACAGUGCUUAAAGAUUUGAAAAAGCAACUCAAUAAUUUUUUAGUAAAGGUUUCAUAAGGCCCAGUGUUUCUCCAUGGACCACACCUGUCCUGUUCAUGCAAAAAAAAGAUGGUUCUUUACGUAUGUGCAUUGUCUAUCGUUAGUUUAAUAAGGUUACAGUCAAGAACAAGUACCUUUUUCCUAGAAUUGAUGACCUUUUUGAUCUAUUAAAAGGUUCAAGUUAUUUCUCAAUGAUAGACUUUAGAUCCAACUAUCAUCAGCUUAAAGUAAGGGAGUGUGACAUUCCAAAGACAGCCUUCCAAAAUUGUUAUGGUCAUUUUGAGUUUCUAGUUAUGUCUUUUGGGAUAACAAAUGCUCCAGCAGCUUUCAUGGAUCUCAUGAAUCGAUUGUUCAAAUAGUAUCUUGAUAUGUUUGUCAUAAUGUUCAUAGAUAAUAUCCUUGUUUACUCCCAUAGUGAGGAUGACUAUGAAAAUAAUCUUAGAAUUGUCUUGCAAACUCUCCGAGAUCAUCAAUUGUUUGCCAAAUUUGGCAAGUGUGAUUUUUGGCUAAGGUUAGUAGAAUUUAUCGAUUAUAUUAUUUUAGCCGAAGGCAUUAGAGUUGAUCCCCAAAAGACAAAAGCUGUAAGAAAUUGGCCUAGACCUAUAUCUCCAUCAUAUAUUAGAAGUUUCCUAAGUCUAGCUGGCUAUUACCACCAUUUUUUUGAAGGUUUCUCAUCUAUUGAAUCUCCCAUGACCCGAUUGACCCUAAAGAAAAUUAAGUUCUUAUGGUCAGAUUCCCGUGAGAAGAGUUUUUAGGAGUUGAAAACUAGACUCACUUUAUCUUCUAUGUUGACAUUGCCUGAUGGUACAGAUGGUUUUAUGGUGUAUUAUGAUGCCUCUAGAGUUGGUUUCGGUUGUGUGUUGAUGUAGCGAGGUAAGGUUAUAGCCUAUGCCUCUAGACAGUUAAAGACACAUGAAAAGAAUUACCCAACCCAUGUUCUUGAAUUAGCUAUUAUGUUUUUUUCUUUGAAAAUAUGGAGACACUAUCUUUAUGGUGUUCAUAUGGAUGUGUUCACGGACCAUAAAAGACUGCAGUACAUGUUUACUCAAAGGUAUUUGAAUCUUAGAUAAAGAAGAUGGUUGGAGUUACUGAAGGAUUAUGAUAUGAGUAUGUUAUAUCAUAUAGGUAAGGCCAAUGUAGUGGUAGAUGCCCUUAGUAGGUUGUGUAUGGGCAGUGUGGCUCAUGCAGAGAAGAAUAAGGAGUUAGCUCGAGAAGUGUAUCAUUUGGAAAGAUUGGAUGUUAGGUUACUUGACUCAGCUGAAGGUAAUGUUUGGGUUUAGAGUUAUUCCAAAUCCUCUUUAGUUUCAGAAGUGAAGGAUAAAUAAGACUUGGAUGCUAGUUUGGUCAGAUUGAAGGAGUCAGUUAAAGACCAAAAGGUAGAGAUUUUCUCCUAAGUGGGAGAUGGUGUGUUAAGGUUUCAGGAUAGAUUGUGUGUUUCUUAUGUUGGUGAUUUAAGGUAGAGACCUAUGGCUGAGGCGUAUGGUGUGCGAUAUUCUACUUAUCCCCGUGCUGCUAAGAUGUACCUCAAUUUAUGGGAAAUCUAUUUAUGGAGUGGCAUAAAGAAGGAUAUAACUGAGUUUGUGGCAAAAUAUGCAACUUAUCAAUAGGUUAAGGUAGAGCACCAAAUACCUGGUGGUAAGUUACAAGAGUUUAGUAUUCCCACUUAGAAGUGAGAAGAGGUGAAUAUAGAUUUCGUAACUAGUCUACCCCUUUUGCGUCGCCAUCAUGAUUUGAUUUGGGUUGUUGUAGAUAGGUUGACUAAGUCAGCACAUUUCCUACCAGUUCAUACAUCUUAUACUACUGAGGAUUAUGCUAGGUUGUAUAUUUAGGAGUUAGUCAUAUUGUAUGUAGUUCCCUUGUCUAUUAUCUUAUAUUGGGGUACUCAAUUUACUUCUCAGUUUUGGAGAGCUUUUUAGAAGGGUCUUAGUACCGAAGGUUAUAUUAGUUUCACUUUCCAUCCACAAACAGAUGGUUAGGAUGAGAGGACCAUCCAAACUCUAGAAGAUAUAUUGAAGGAAUGUGCUCUUGAUUCAAAGGUAGUUGGGAUGAGCAUUCGCCACUGAUUGAAUUCGCGUAUAAUAAUAGUUGUCACUCUAGCAUUCAAAUGGCCCCAUUUGAGACUUUGUAUGGGAGGGGAUGUAGAUCACCCAUAGGUUGGUUUGAAAUGGGUGAAAUUGCUUUGAUUGGGCCUAAUAUUGUGUUUGAGGCUAUGGAAAAGGUUAAAUUGAAUAGAGAAAGGCUGAAGAUAGACCAGAGUCAUCAGAAGUAAUAUGCAGAUAUAAGAAGGAAUAUUGAGUUUGAAGUUGAUGACUUGGUGUAUCUACAAAUUUCACCCAUGAAAGGGUUGGAAAGGUUUGGCAAAAAGGGGAAGCUUAGUCCUCGUUACGUUGGCCCUUACAGAAUUCUGAGAUGUGUUGGGGAAAUAGCUUAUGAAGUUGAGUUUCCCGUAGAUCUGUCAGCUAUUCAUCCCAUCUUUCACGUCUCCAUGCUCAAAAAGAGCAUUGGUGAUUCCGUUUUUGUAGAUCCUUCUGAGAGCUGAGAGAUUCAGACUAGUCUUUCUUAUGAAGAGAUUCCAGUCUAGAUUCUAGACUAUCAGACCCGUAGACUAAGAAACAAAGAGGUUCCUUUGAUCAAAGUUCUUUGGCGAAACUAGUAAGUUGAGGGAGAUUCUUAGGAAGCUGAAUCAGACAUACGAGCCAACUACCCUCAUCUAUUCUCUGCAAACUUAGAUUUAGUUGAAGGUACUACUCAUCUUUAAUUCAGUUCCUUUCUAAAUCUGUGUAUUCAACUAUAUAGUUGUCUUCUCUAUGAGUUCAUGCAUUCUUUGAAGUACUCAAAAGCUUAGAAUGAUUUAGAUUCAGUUAAGCCAUUUAUUUCAACCGUGCAUUCUCUAUAUUCUUAGCCUAACUAGUGACAUUCGAGGACGAAUGUUCCCAAGGGGGAGAUAUUGUAAUACCCCAAACUAUCCUUAAGCCUAAAUUUUAUCUCUAUAAGAUAAAAAAUGACUUCCAAAGUGAGUAGUGUUUAAAUCAUAUAGAUUUUUCCCAAUUUUGAGUUUUUAUCGUCGGGGAAAUUAAAUUAUCUUUCCAACGAUACCCAUUUCACCAUAAUCUAAUGUCGGGAUAGAAAGAUAUGGACAUUUUAUAGAGAGCUGUUCGAACUACCCAGGAGCGACGACAGGCCAACGAACAGUCAAACCAGUGACGUACCAUCGCUCCAACCAUCACAACUGAGGCAGUAAACUCAUUCUCUAUCCAAGUGCAAUGGUCAGGCCGACGGACCGUCGAGCUAGCGAUGAACCAUUGCAAAUCAUGUGGAGCAUUUUAAAGCUAUUUUAAAAAGGGCUUUUUGGUCCUUUUCCAUGUUUUUUAACACCUAGAUAUAUAAAAACGAAGCAUAGAACUUUAGAUUGACCCAAAACAUCAAGAACUAGGGUUUUCUCUCAAAAUUAACCCUCAAGAGAAAGACCCAAUUCCUUUUCCAUGAUUUCACCAUAGUUUUUACAAAUUGGUUUAAGAUUCAAGGUUUCCAAGUCAAAAGCUUCAAUAAACCUCACUAAAGAGCACAAAAAAGAGUCUCAAGAAAGCUUGUCCAUCUAAAUUCACAAUGUAGGAUAUGUGGGGUUUGACCAAGGACAAUCCUUUCGUCUUUGUGCCCAAAACUUGUCUUUAAUUACAAAGAUAUUUGAUUUUUCAUAUUUUCUAAUGGAAUUGAAGUAUGGGUUUGUACCUUAUGUUGUUAUUCUUGAUAUUAUGAGGUUUUCAAUGCUUUAGAAAUUGAAGUACAUAAGUAUGGUGAGAUUAUAAGGCAUAUUGCUGAAAAUUUCCAGAUUUCUAUAUGAUUUAUGAAUCUUUAUGAUAUUUAGUAUGCAUUUUGACACAUCUUAACCUGAGAUUGAAUUAUGGGUCAUUAAUCCCUUCUUGGGAUUGAAAUCUUAAGAAUUUUUGUGCUAUUAGCACCCAUGAUUUGAGUAUUUUAAGAUUAAUUGAGAAAGUUUUGACCUUGACGGUCAUAGUAGCUUUGAAAUCCACUUUUCUAAAUGAAAUUACAGAUUUUAUAGUUGAGUUCUUUAUCAAUGAUAUUAUUUUAAAGUGGAAUUCCAUGAGAUGAGUGUAGCUAACUAAUGGGAGUAGUAUUUAGCACCGAGUUGGGUAAGUUACUACGGUUUCAUACCCCAGAACUACGUGCCACCGUAGGAUUGAGAUUUAUGGGCUCGCGGCUGAGAAAGUGAUCACUGAGUUAAGGUUACACUCCCUGGAAGAGUAUGACGCCUCUUCCCAACAUGAGGUUUCUUCCUCAUGAGGCAAAACAUUGGACUCCAUGUAUCUCGCAUGGUAUAUGUUAGUUAAGAGAACCUCCCUAAUAGUAAGAUUUUCAGAGUAGUUUCUUAAAGUAUAUUUUCCCUUGAAGAAAGUAUUUUUUCCUACUAGUAAAAGUAAAUAAUCAGUUCCUAAAGUAAAGUAUGUUCCUUUGAUAUGAGUUAUUUUCCCUAAAUCUUUCAAAGAUAUCCUGGCCAGUAAAGAUUUUUAGAUAAUAAGUGUAAAUGCUCACAAACUUAUUCAAAUAUUGUUUUACUUGAGAUUUCAGUUUUAAAGUUACAGUCAGAGUUUUCAGAUACAGAGGUGAGCACUUGACCACUUAGUUUAUAUAUUUGAGAAGGAAAUAGACUACAGAUUUCAAAAAUGAGUAUAUUGACUCACGGGAUUUAUACUACAUGUUCCAUUAUUCAUAAUUUAUGAGACUUACAUUUUCAGAGUUAUUAAAGCUAUGUGAGUUAGUUAUAUCAGCAUGCAUGAUUUCUAUAAAGAUUGGUGAUAUUGUUGUUUUAAUUAUUGUAUACACCCCCAUAUGCUCAGUACAUCCUCAAAAUACUGAUCCAUAUAUAUGUCAAUGUGCUGCAUUGUCUCAUAAAGUAGGUUCAGGUGCUCAAUCUGAGUAGUGACAGUGAUUUCCGAGUACCUUAUCUACACUUUUGUAGUUGGUGAGUCCUCAUAGUUCGAGGACCUAUUUCCUUGAUUUUAGUCUUAAUAGCAGUUGCAUAUUGUUUUCAUUUCAGCUUAAGUCAAUUGGGGGUUUGUCCCAAUGACUCUCUAGUCCCUUAGUAAGUAGAGGCUUGUCAGAUUCUUAGUAGAGUUCUAGAUUAUUAGUAUUUUGUUAUGUAGAUAUUUUUCCAGUUAUUCCAGUUCAGAUUUGGCAUGAUAUAGUAUUGUUGCGUGGUUUAUUCAUUCUAAAGUAAGUGUUAAAAGUAGUAGUAGGCUCAAAGGGUUAGCUUGGGGCUACUUAUAGAUUUAAGCAUCGUGUAACGUCUCGGGAUGAGAUUUUGGGGUGUUACAAGAAGAGUUGAGGAUACUUUGUCCGCAUGUCUUCUUUUGCUUACCAAGUAGCUCCCUCCACGGACUGAUUUUGCGAAAGUACUUUGACUAAAGGGACUUCUUUGCUUCUCAGUCUGUGAAUGUAAUAAACAAGGGUUUCGACAGGAAUCUCUUCAUAACAGAGGCUGUUCUAAAUUCCUAUGCCCUCUAUAGGGACUACAACGGCUGGGUCACCUACACAUUUCUUAAGAAAGGAGACAUGGAAUGGAAUCUUGGAUGCAUUGAAGUUAAGUCUAAGGCAACUCUAGCUUGUCAGCUACCUUUCCAAAAUGACUGAGAAUUUGGUAAGGACUAAUAUAUCGGGGACUGAGUUUCCCCUUCUUUCCCAACCUCUUCACUUCUUUCAUAGGAGAGAUUUUCAAAUACAUAAAAUCACCAAUCUCGAACUCAAGAUCCUUUUUACGUACGAUUUUAGUCUGAUCUGAGCUGUCUUAAGCCUUUUUCUGACCAACUAAAAUUUCUUUAAGGUAUCAAAUACCAAGUUUGGAUCUACCACUAUGGGUUCACCCACUUCAAACCAACCAAUGGGAUAUCUACACCUUCUUCCAUAAAGUGCCUGAAAUAAAGCCAUCUAAAUGUUGGAAUGAUAACUAUUAUUAUAUGCAAAUUGAAUUAAAAAAAGUGGUCAUCCCAACUACCUUACUAGUAUAUCAUAUACGCUCACAACAUAUUUUCUAAAGUCUGAAUGGUCCUUUCUGCUUGACCAUUUAUCUGAGGAUGAAAGGAUGUACUGAGGUGAACUCGAGUACCAAGACCCUUUUAGAAUGCCUUCCAAAAAUGAGAGAUAAAAUGGGUGCCUCCAUAUGAGAUAAUGGACAAUGAAACACCGUGCAAUAUGACCAACUCCUUAUUAUAUAGAGUUUGGCAUAAUCCUUGGCUGAAUAUGAGGUAUGGUGUAAUACCCCGUAUUUAUGUGCUGGAAUUCUAACCACCGUUUCUACACGUCUGAGCUCUAAUCUAGGUGAUUUUCAUGUGAAUAUAAGUUGCAUGAUCAUUAUCCUAGCAUAUGUAGUAAAUUAGAGGUGGAAAAUAUUCAUAUCAAUGACCUAGAACAAAGUUGAGCUAAGAUCAAUUGAUUCAUCAAAACUUUGUCAUUUGAUUCUACAAGGGUCUACUUCAAAUGUUCAUAAAUAUUUAUAUACAUGUAAUUUUUUAUCCAAAGACCUAUCAAAUUGUAAAUUAUUAAAUUAUCUUUCCAACGAUACCAAUUUAAAAAAAAUCCGAUACCCAAGCUAAAAGUUAUGGCCAUUUUAGUGGCCGAGGCAGUAGCACCAUGCGAUAAGCGUGCGACACAUGCUCUAUCGCACGCUAAUAAUUUUCAGGUUCUGUUUCCGCAUUUUUAAGGGCAAAAUUUGUAUUUUCCAACCCCAAUCGAGCUAUAGCAUGGGAUUAAACUUCUAUAACACCAAACUAAGGUAACUUUCUCUCAAAAUCACCAAGAACAUUCAUUAGGGUUUCAACCUAAAAAUCCAAAUAUCUCAAGAUUCAACUGUAGGUUUUCGAUAAUUUUUCAAGUUUCAGAUUCCCCAUUCCUAGGUCUAUGAGAAGCACCCAUUAAACUAAAGAAUAGCAAUCUGAAGUUAAGAGUUCAUCCAAAGCUUAAAUUUCAAGGUAUGUGGGGUUUGAACAAGAACACCCUUUCGUUCUUGUGGCCACAACUUAUUUUAAAUUAUAAAUUAUUGAAUUUUUUUAUUAUUUUUCAUGAAAUUCUAGUUGGGUUUUAUACCCAUGGUUGUUAAUUACAAGCUUAUAAGGUUCCUAAUGAUUUAGAAGUGUAAUUGUAUGACUAAUUUCACAUAUUCAUGCAAGUAAUGUGAUUUUUCAGAUAUUUUCAAGUGAGUUUAAGCAUUAUAUUGUGAUUCUUGAUUUCUAUAUUUUGACAUGUUGAAGUAUUUUCAAGAAGUAUAUUGAGUAUGAUGUUUUGCUGUAAUAUUACAUGAGUAUGUUUAUGUUUUCAUGCUUAUUGCUGAAAUUUUUAGAUUUUGAGUUGAUUCAUCAAUAUUUACAUUAUCAAGCAUGAAUCUUUUGGUGUUUUAAUAUGAGUUAGAUAUAUGGGUCAGUAACCCCUAUUUAAAGAUUGUUAUUUUGAGGAUGAGUUAUUGAGGACUUCUAAAGAAUUGCUAUUAUGAGAUCUUAAAAGCUUUGAUGAUGAGUCUAUCAAGAUUUCAGGAAAGAGUUGUUUUUUUGAACCCAAGUAAGAAAAGAAAUCCACAUUUGAUUGAUUUAUGAUAAAGGGGUAGCAUAUUGUCUCCCGAUGCAAAUUGUUGAAUUGUUUAUUAUGGAUUUUCUUUAAAUUUUUGAGAUAAGUCCGAGUGUAGUAUUUAGCACCGAGCGGGAAGUGUGGUACCUCCCUAGAACUACGUGCCUCCAUAGGAUGUGAUCCUGAGGCUGAUAUAGUAAUCACUAAGGAAUUGAAAAGUUAAGGUUCUAUUUGAGGGAAAGGAUAGGACAGCUCUCCCCAAUGUGGGUAAUACAUUGGACUCCUUGUAGCUCACAUAGUUUAUGUCAGUUAAGAGAAACUCCCAAAGUCGUCCGCCACUCUAUCUAAGAUAAGGGUAUAUCUUUUUCGAAAGCUAUUAUUCCAAGAUUUCUAAGUUUCUCAAGUGUCAAAAUCUUUAAAUUUUCAAAAAAAGUUCUUAGUUUUCAUGAGAUUAAAGUUUAUGUUUGGAAAGAUGUUAUUUUAAGACAUUAUCUAUACUACAAGUUUGGGAACAAAGAAAGGAUGCAGAUUUAGAAUGAAGUGAAAUGACUCAUGAGAUUUAUACUAAAUGUUUAAUUAUUCAUGAUUUAUGAGAUUUAUAUUUCAGAUAUUAUUCAAGCUAUGUGAGUAGUUUACGUGAGCAUGCAUAAUUUUAUAAACUGUGAUGAUAUUGAGAUAUUAUUUUAUAUAUGCAUUGCACCCCCAUAUACUCAGUACAUCCUCAAAGUACUGAUCCACAUAUACGUUUAUGUGAUACAUUGUCUCAUAAUGUAGGUAUAAGUUUUAGUAUGCACAUCAAACUCAGACGGUUGCAUAUUUUAGCCAGCAGAUGAUAUGUCCUCCUACUUCGAAGAUUUACGUUAGAUGUCAUUAUAUAUUUUCUUUCUUUAUUUCUCUUAUAUAUUGAUUAGUGAUAGUUGGGGUCGCAUCUUAUCUCUAUAAGAUAAAAAAUGACUUCCAAAGUGAGUAGUGUUUAAAUCAUAUAGAUUUUUCCCAAUUUUGAGUUUUUAUCGUCGGGGAAAUUAAAUUAUCUUUCCAACGAUACCCAUUUCACCAUAAUCUAAUGUCGGGAUAGAAAGAUAUGGACAUUUUAUAGAGAGCUGUUCGAACUACCCAGGAGCGACGACAGGCCAACGAACAGUCAAACCAGUGACGUACCAUCGCUCCAACCAUCACAACUGAGGCAGUAAACUCAUUCUCUAUCCAAGUGCAAUGGUCAGGCCGACGGACCGUCGAGCUAGCGAUGAACCAUUGCAAAUCAUGUGGAGCAUUUUAAAGCUAUUUUAAAAAGGGCUUUUUGGUCCUUUUCCAUGUUUUUUAACACCUAGAUAUAUAAAAACGAAGCAUAGAACUUUAGAUUGACCCAAAACAUCAAGAACUAGGGUUUUCUCUCAAAAUUAACCCUCAAGAGAAAGACCCAAUUCCUUUUCCAUGAUUUCACCAUAGUUUUUACAAAUUGGUUUAAGAUUCAAGGUUUCCAAGUCAAAAGCUUCAAUAAACCUCACUAAAGAGCACAAAAAAGAGUCUCAAGAAAGCUUGUCCAUCUAAAUUCACAAUGUAGGAUAUGUGGGGUUUGACCAAGGACAAUCCUUUCGUCUUUGUGCCCAAAACUUGUCUUUAAUUACAAAGAUAUUUGAUUUUUCAUAUUUUCUAAUGGAAUUGAAGUAUGGGUUUGUACCUUAUGUUGUUAUUCUUGAUAUUAUGAGGUUUUCAAUGCUUUAGAAAUUGAAGUACAUAAGUAUGGUGAGAUUAUAAGGCAUAUUGCUGAAAAUUUCCAGAUUUCUAUAUGAUUUAUGAAUCUUUAUGAUAUUUAGUAUGCAUUUUGACACAUCUUAACCUGAGAUUGAAUUAUGGGUCAUUAAUCCCUUCUUGGGAUUGAAAUCUUAAGAAUUUUUGUGCUAUUAGCACCCAUGAUUUGAGUAUUUUAAGAUUAAUUGAGAAAGUUUUGACCUUGACGGUCAUAGUAGCUUUGAAAUCCACUUUUCUAAAUGAAAUUACAGAUUUUAUAGUUGAGUUCUUUAUCAAUGAUAUUAUUUUAAAGUGGAAUUCCAUGAGAUGAGUGUAGCUAACUAAUGGGAGUAGUAUUUAGCACCGAGUUGGGUAAGUUACUACGGUUUCAUACCCCAGAACUACGUGCCACCGUAGGAUUGAGAUUUAUGGGCUCGCGGCUGAGAAAGUGAUCACUGAGUUAAGGUUACACUCCCUGGAAGAGUAUGACGCCUCUUCCCAACAUGAGGUUUCUUCCUCAUGAGGCAAAACAUUGGACUCCAUGUAUCUCGCAUGGUAUAUGUUAGUUAAGAGAACCUCCCUAAUAGUAAGAUUUUCAGAGUAGUUUCUUAAAGUAUAUUUUCCCUUGAAGAAAGUAUUUUUUCCUACUAGUAAAAGUAAAUAAUCAGUUCCUAAAGUAAAGUAUGUUCCUUUGAUAUGAGUUAUUUUCCCUAAAUCUUUCAAAGAUAUCCUGGCCAGUAAAGAUUUUUAGAUAAUAAGUGUAAAUGCUCACAAACUUAUUCAAAUAUUGUUUUACUUGAGAUUUCAGUUUUAAAGUUACAGUCAGAGUUUUCAGAUACAGAGGUGAGCACUUGACCACUUAGUUUAUAUAUUUGAGAAGGAAAUAGACUACAGAUUUCAAAAAUGAGUAUAUUGACUCACGGGAUUUAUACUACAUGUUCCAUUAUUCAUAAUUUAUGAGACUUACAUUUUCAGAGUUAUUAAAGCUAUGUGAGUUAGUUAUAUCAGCAUGCAUGAUUUCUAUAAAGAUUGGUGAUAUUGUUGUUUUAAUUAUUGUAUACACCCCCAUAUGCUCAGUACAUCCUCAAAAUACUGAUCCAUAUAUAUGUCAAUGUGCUGCAUUGUCUCAUAAAGUAGGUUCAGGUGCUCAAUCUGAGUAGUGACAGUGAUUUCCGAGUACCUUAUCUACACUUUUGUAGUUGGUGAGUCCUCAUAGUUCGAGGACCUAUUUCCUUGAUUUUAGUCUUAAUAGCAGUUGCAUAUUGUUUUCAUUUCAGCUUAAGUCAAUUGGGGGUUUGUCCCAAUGACUCUCUAGUCCCUUAGUAAGUAGAGGCUUGUCAGAUUCUUAGUAGAGUUCUAGAUUAUUAGUAUUUUGUUAUGUAGAUAUUUUUCCAGUUAUUCCAGUUCAGAUUUGGCAUGAUAUAGUAUUGUUGCGUGGUUUAUUCAUUCUAAAGUAAGUGUUAAAAGUAGUAGUAGGCUCAAAGGGUUAGCUUGGGGCUACUUAUAGAUUUAAGCAUCGUGUAACGUCUCGGGAUGAGAUUUUGGGGUGUUACAAGAAGAGUUGAGGAUACUUUGUCCGCAUGUCUUCUUUUGCUUACCAAGUAGCUCCCUCCACGGACUGAUUUUGCGAAAGUACUUUGACUAAAGGGACUUCUUUGCUUCUCAGUCUGUGAAUGUAAUAAACAAGGGUUUCGACAGGAAUCUCUUCAUAACAGAGGCUGUUCUAAAUUCCUAUGCCCUCUAUAGGGACUACAACGGCUGGGUCACCUACACAUUUCUUAAGAAAGGAGACAUGGAAUGGAAUCUUGGAUGCAUUGAAGUUAAGUCUAAGGCAACUCUAGCUUGUCAGCUACCUUUCCAAAAUGACUGAGAAUUUGGUAAGGACUAAUAUAUCGGGGACUGAGUUUCCCCUUCUUUCCCAACCUCUUCACUUCUUUCAUAGGAGAGAUUUUCAAAUACAUAAAAUCACCAAUCUCGAACUCAAGAUCCUUUUUACGUACGAUUUUAGUCUGAUCUGAGCUGUCUUAAGCCUUUUUCUGACCAACUAAAAUUUCUUUAAGGUAUCAAAUACCAAGUUUGGAUCUACCACUAUGGGUUCACCCACUUCAAACCAACCAAUGGGAUAUCUACACCUUCUUCCAUAAAGUGCCUGAAAUAAAGCCAUCUAAAUGUUGGAAUGAUAACUAUUAUUAUAUGCAAAUUGAAUUAAAAAAAGUGGUCAUCCCAACUACCUUACUAGUAUAUCAUAUACGCUCACAACAUAUUUUCUAAAGUCUGAAUGGUCCUUUCUGCUUGACCAUUUAUCUGAGGAUGAAAGGAUGUACUGAGGUGAACUCGAGUACCAAGACCCUUUUAGAAUGCCUUCCAAAAAUGAGAGAUAAAAUGGGUGCCUCCAUAUGAGAUAAUGGACAAUGAAACACCGUGCAAUAUGACCAACUCCUUAUUAUAUAGAGUUUGGCAUAAUCCUUGGCUGAAUAUGAGGUAUGGUGUAAUACCCCGUAUUUAUGUGCUGGAAUUCUAACCACCGUUUCUACACGUCUGAGCUCUAAUCUAGGUGAUUUUCAUGUGAAUAUAAGUUGCAUGAUCAUUAUCCUAGCAUAUGUAGUAAAUUAGAGGUGGAAAAUAUUCAUAUCAAUGACCUAGAACAAAGUUGAGCUAAGAUCAAUUGAUUCAUCAAAACUUUGUCAUUUGAUUCUACAAGGGUCUACUUCAAAUGUUCAUAAAUAUUUAUAUACAUGUAAUUUUUUAUCCAAAGACCUAUCAAAUUGUAAAUUAUUAAAUUAUCUUUCCAACGAUACCAAUUUAAAAAAAAUCCGAUACCCAAGCUAAAAGUUAUGGCCAUUUUAGUGGCCGAGGCAGUAGCACCAUGCGAUAAGCGUGCGACACAUGCUCUAUCGCACGCUAAUAAUUUUCAGGUUCUGUUUCCGCAUUUUUAAGGGCAAAAUUUGUAUUUUCCAACCCCAAUCGAGCUAUAGCAUGGGAUUAAACUUCUAUAACACCAAACUAAGGUAACUUUCUCUCAAAAUCACCAAGAACAUUCAUUAGGGUUUCAACCUAAAAAUCCAAAUAUCUCAAGAUUCAACUGUAGGUUUUCGAUAAUUUUUCAAGUUUCAGAUUCCCCAUUCCUAGGUCUAUGAGAAGCACCCAUUAAACUAAAGAAUAGCAAUCUGAAGUUAAGAGUUCAUCCAAAGCUUAAAUUUCAAGGUAUGUGGGGUUUGAACAAGAACACCCUUUCGUUCUUGUGGCCACAACUUAUUUUAAAUUAUAAAUUAUUGAAUUUUUUUAUUAUUUUUCAUGAAAUUCUAGUUGGGUUUUAUACCCAUGGUUGUUAAUUACAAGCUUAUAAGGUUCCUAAUGAUUUAGAAGUGUAAUUGUAUGACUAAUUUCACAUAUUCAUGCAAGUAAUGUGAUUUUUCAGAUAUUUUCAAGUGAGUUUAAGCAUUAUAUUGUGAUUCUUGAUUUCUAUAUUUUGACAUGUUGAAGUAUUUUCAAGAAGUAUAUUGAGUAUGAUGUUUUGCUGUAAUAUUACAUGAGUAUGUUUAUGUUUUCAUGCUUAUUGCUGAAAUUUUUAGAUUUUGAGUUGAUUCAUCAAUAUUUACAUUAUCAAGCAUGAAUCUUUUGGUGUUUUAAUAUGAGUUAGAUAUAUGGGUCAGUAACCCCUAUUUAAAGAUUGUUAUUUUGAGGAUGAGUUAUUGAGGACUUCUAAAGAAUUGCUAUUAUGAGAUCUUAAAAGCUUUGAUGAUGAGUCUAUCAAGAUUUCAGGAAAGAGUUGUUUUUUUGAACCCAAGUAAGAAAAGAAAUCCACAUUUGAUUGAUUUAUGAUAAAGGGGUAGCAUAUUGUCUCCCGAUGCAAAUUGUUGAAUUGUUUAUUAUGGAUUUUCUUUAAAUUUUUGAGAUAAGUCCGAGUGUAGUAUUUAGCACCGAGCGGGAAGUGUGGUACCUCCCUAGAACUACGUGCCUCCAUAGGAUGUGAUCCUGAGGCUGAUAUAGUAAUCACUAAGGAAUUGAAAAGUUAAGGUUCUAUUUGAGGGAAAGGAUAGGACAGCUCUCCCCAAUGUGGGUAAUACAUUGGACUCCUUGUAGCUCACAUAGUUUAUGUCAGUUAAGAGAAACUCCCAAAGUCGUCCGCCACUCUAUCUAAGAUAAGGGUAUAUCUUUUUCGAAAGCUAUUAUUCCAAGAUUUCUAAGUUUCUCAAGUGUCAAAAUCUUUAAAUUUUCAAAAAAAGUUCUUAGUUUUCAUGAGAUUAAAGUUUAUGUUUGGAAAGAUGUUAUUUUAAGACAUUAUCUAUACUACAAGUUUGGGAACAAAGAAAGGAUGCAGAUUUAGAAUGAAGUGAAAUGACUCAUGAGAUUUAUACUAAAUGUUUAAUUAUUCAUGAUUUAUGAGAUUUAUAUUUCAGAUAUUAUUCAAGCUAUGUGAGUAGUUUACGUGAGCAUGCAUAAUUUUAUAAACUGUGAUGAUAUUGAGAUAUUAUUUUAUAUAUGCAUUGCACCCCCAUAUACUCAGUACAUCCUCAAAGUACUGAUCCACAUAUACGUUUAUGUGAUACAUUGUCUCAUAAUGUAGGUAUAAGUUUUAGUAUGCACAUCAAACUCAGACGGUUGCAUAUUUUAGCCAGCAGAUGAUAUGUCCUCCUACUUCGAAGAUUUACGUUAGAUGUCAUUAUAUAUUUUCUUUCUUUAUUUCUCUUAUAUAUUGAUUAGUGAUAGUUGGGGUCGCAUCUUAGCUAUCUAUAGUUAGUAUUAGUAGAGGUUUCAUAGAUAGUCAGUAGAGUCAUUGUAUUUAUCUCAGUUUUUUGUAAAAGCAAAGUUUUAAUCGUGUGAAUUCACUUUUGUAUUGAUCAGAUUUAGAAAAGAUGUAUCUUCUACUUAAUUUGUUCAGAUUUAUCUAUCUUAUAUAGUUGCAUAUGAGUUAUGCCGGUAGAAGGGUUAGCUUGGGAUCACUUAUGACCCUAAGCACCGUGUAACAUCUCAGGAUUCAAUUUUGGGGCACUACAAACUUGGUAUCAAAGCACAACGUUCAAGAGUCCUAGGGUGUCUGUGAAGCUGUGCCUAGUAGAGUCUUGCAGAAUGGUAUAGAGAUGUUUGUACUUUUCUUUGAUAGGCUACAUGACAUUUAGGAAAUGUCUCCAUUCUUUCUAGCCUCAGAUCGUGCUAUAGAAAGGUUCUCCAAGACACUUAUAUAGAUUUUUAUCUUACUCUAUUCAGGCCAUCUUUUCCUUAUUUUUAAGGUAUCAAAAAUAGUUAAGCUAAAUUAUAAGAGAGAUAGAAAGUAUCCCAUCAGUGCUUUUGAGUUUCAAAGAUUGAAGUGCUUUAUCAUGUUUGUAAAAAAAUAAUUCACCAAGCCCAAGUCAGAUGUGCUUUCAGAUUCCUCCUCAGAAUUCAUAAUGAUAAUCUAUACUUCUCUAUCUAUGUACUAUCCUUGAGGUAACAUGAUCGGCAAGUUCUAAUUUCCUCCCCUAAUAAUUCUCUCAGACUUGCUAGCAAGAAGUUUCAAAAGUUUCAUAAAGCGGCUUAAGAGGAGCCUUCUAGUGUGUUAUAAGUCCCUCAAAUUUAAAGUUACACCCUUAUUCUUAUGAGUCAUUUAGUUAAGACAGAGCAAUAUGUGUAUUCUUAGAUCAUUGAAUAUUGUGUGUCAAGUUUCUAUACCUUAUGAUAUGUAAUCUUGUCGUCAUGGUAUUUUUGAAACUCAAAGUCUAGUGAAGCCAUGUGGGGCUCUUUCAAUUCACUAGCAUAGUUGCUUUGUUAUUCAUCGAAUUUUCUUGUUCAAAACACAAAAAUCAAAGUCUAGUGAAGCCGUGUGGGGCUCUUUCGAUUCACUAGAAUAGUUACUUUGUUAUUUAUCUCAUUUUAUUAUUCAAAACACAAAACCAGGUCUAGUGAAGCCAUGCGAGGCCUAUUUCAAUUCACUAGCAACUUGUUGUUUAUCUUGUUGUUCUUGUGUUAGUUGAAAGUGUGGGUUUAGAAGUGUAGUGACAAGAAAGGUGGUAAGGGCGAUUUAUUGAAUAUGUAUAGCUGAAUUUUCACUUAUGACUAAAUUAGUAAUGAAGUGAUAUACCCUUUCUUGUUAGUUUAGUGAAAGUUAGAGAAUGAGAUUAUUAGUUAAGGUGGAUUGUUGUUUUCUUGAGGUAAGAAAAGAGUUAUUGUGCUAGAAAAGUAUAGGGUUUGAUGGAAGUACUUGGUGGAUGACAGUUGUUAAUUUAGGCUUUCCUGAGAUUGCAAGAGAAAGUUUAGUUGAAACUUAUAAAGCUAUGAAGGAGUUUAGAUAUAUAAGAAGGGUAAAUAGUAAUGAGGUAUAGAAGAAGGAGGUGCUAGCGAAUUAUAAUAAGAUAGACCAUAGAAUUUUUGAAUAUUUUGCAGGUAAGAAUAGUUGUUAUGAUUGUGGUUAAUCAUAGCUAGAACGAGAUACUAAGUUCGAAUAGUAGAUGAUGAUCAAGGUGGGGAUAAUGAUUUCUUGGUUAGUGAUGCUAGUUAUAUAGAGGUGAACCAAUAGGCUUGAAACAAUGAAUGGAAGAAUUUAAGUUAAUUGAUUUGAGAUUAAGUAUGAUGUUGUAGGUAUGAGGUAAAGGUGUGCCCAAGGGGAUAUGAGGUUGCAUUAUUUUCUAAGUUUAUUAAGUAUUGUGUAUGGUUAGUAGUACCCUUGAGUUUUAAGUUGAAGAAGCAUAGUGUCUAGUACAUAGUACUCUGGAUAGCUAAGUUAAGGAUGAUAUAUUAAAUGGGGUCGUUUAGGAAUGAAGUCAGUAAGUUUGAAUAUAGAUUAUGAGUUCGAGUGUAGCAUUUAAGCGUGGACCGUUAGAGCAAACAUAUUUCGACUCACUCCUAAAAGUGUGGGAUAGAUCCAUAAGUUUAGAAGAUGGCUUUAAUCUAAGGGGGAGAUAGUAUAAUACCCUUUAAUAUUCUAGAUCUUUUCAGUUCCUUGUUGCAUGACAAAAUAGUUCCCAAAACUUAGAAAUUUUCAGCUAAUUGCCAAGACUUAGUCUUUUCCAAAGCCUUCAAACUUUGAGGAUUUUGUUCAUGACCUUCCUAACCUCCAAAAGUUGAUUUUCAAGUUGAUUCAUGAUCGGGGGAGUCAACAGUACAUCUUGGGUGAGUUUUGGAAUUUUCAGAAUCCGUUUAGGGAAUGUUUGGAAUUCAAAAUAGUGACAUCGUGCGAUUAGCGUGCGUCGCACGCUCUAGUCCACCCCUAGUAGAAUGAGAUAGAGAAUGUGGCGCACACUCUAUUUCGAUGCUCCAUAGCAUGCGAUGUAUACUCCAUAGUAUGCUCCCUUGUUUAUCUAGCUCCUGUUUUAGCUAUCUAAGGGAUAAUGUUUAUAUACUUCAUGUGUAUUUAAGUUCAUUCUCAACUUUUAGUAAGUAAUAGUUUCACUCUAUGAUUCGAGUUAUCCAUCAAAAAUCUAUGGACCCCAGUUUUAUGAUUGAAUAGCUCAUGAUAAGUAUGAGCUCAUGUUUCAGAGUAUGACCUAUUUUAGAACUCAUGAUACUAGUGAAGUACACAUUAUAUCAUGUAUGUCCUCAUCUUAGAUUUUUUUAAUGAAUCCAUGCCUUUGAUAUUUUAUUAAUCAGACCUAGGAUAAGUGUUAAAGUUAUGUAUUGUAGUCUUUCAUGCUUCAGGUUCUUAUGUAUUAGCCCUUCGGUGACCUCUUCCUAUGUUAAGAUAGUGGUGAUGAUAGUGGAUAAGCGAUGUUUUAGAUGAGAAAGAGUUGAUGACCCUCAUUAAGAAAGAUUAUUUAUGCUUUUCUACCUAUGGCCAAAGUAUGAAGUAAGAUUGAGGCUAAGUCUUUGACACAUGUCAUGGUUAGUUAAAAUUUAUGUGUAUGUUCUUAAGAAUAGUGCAAGAAAAUUGCUAUUGAUAAAGGUUUAGAGAAUAUGCGAAGUAUGCCUUUAUUCGGUUUUGCCUUAAAGUUCAUAUGUGAUUUUAAUGAUAGUUGUUAAUGUCAUGUUGGGUGUAAGAUGAUGAAUAAAAUAUGCGCUAGUGAAUCCAUAUCAAGAGUUUUGAUUUAGUCAUUGAAGUGGUAAGGCAUGUUACGCUUAGGGUGUGAGCCCUAAGAAGAUAUAGAGUAUUGAAUCAUGUGGUUUAGACUAGUAUUGUGGUGUGGCAUGUUGUAUCUUAUGAUUUUUAGUUAGUCUUGACUUUGGUGAGAGGACUUAGUUUAGUUUAGACCUUGCAAAAAGAUUUAUCAGUGCCCAUGUCAGAAUUAUAAGUUGAAUCAAGCGAGUGUGAUAUUUGAGGGGAAUAGCAUAUUCAAGGAAGCAUUUGAGAAAUGUUGCUAAACUUGAAAGUAAGAAUUAGCAUUUCUUAAGGCCUAGAAAUUCUACCCUAGCUUAUGAUUUAUGGGUCUAUGUUCUAGGCCACAGAGUGGUAGCAAUGUUGUAAUUUCUUAUUUAGAUGUUUUAUUCAGAUCAUGCCCAUAGUUCUUUACUCCCCAAUUGCAUUAGAAAUUUAUUAGAAAGGCAUUGAAGAAAUACUUUAUUUGGGUGUAAGCAUCUAGUAUGAUUCAGUCUAUAAGUAUCAUGUGUAUCAUCUUAGUCUUUUCCCGAUUUUUAAAUCAAAUCAUUAUCAUUCAGGGACAAAUAAUCCCAAGAGGGGGAUGUUAUAAUACCCUGAGUUUUCAUGUCAUAAACCUCUCAUCUUUUUCUCAUGAGAUCAGAUCCAGCGCAAAGUAAUGGUCACUCAUAAGUUGACACUCUCGUUUCUAUCUUAGCCAUAUAGCUAUUUCCAUGAGAAUUCAUGCACUUACAGAUCAGUUCAGUGGCUCAUUAUGUUUGAGAUUCAGUGAUUCAGUUUAUAUCAGUUGUACAUAAUAGUUUAAAGACUAAGAUUCCUCUGUGUUUCUGUUUAAUUAUCCACAUUCGAGGAUGAAUCCCGUAUUUAUGAACUGGAAUUCUAACUGUCGUUACUACGCGUCUAAGCUCUAAUCCAAGUGAUCCUCACGUGAAUAUAAGUUGCAUUAUCAUUAUCCUAGUCUAUGGAGUAGUUUAGAGGUGGAAAAUGUUCAUAGAAACGACCUAGAACAAAGUUGAUCUAAGAUCAAUUGAUUAGUCCAAAGUUUGUCAUUCGAUUCUACAAGGGUCUACUUCAAAUGUUCAUAACUCUUUAUAUACAUGGAAUUUUCAUCCCAAGACCUAUUAAACUGUAGAUAAUUGAAUUAGUUUUCCAACGAUACCAAUUUCUCAAAAAUCCAAUACCCGAGCGAAAAGUUAUGGCCAUUUUAGUGGCUGAGGCAGUAGCACUAUGCAAUAAGCGUGCGACGCACACUAAUAAUUUUCGGGUUCUGUUUCUGCGUUUUUAAGGGUAAAAGUGGUAUUUUCCAAACCCUAUCCAGCUAUAACAUGGGAUUAAACUCCCAUAACACCAAAAUAAGUUAACUUUCUCUCAAAAUCACCAAGAACAUUCAUUAAGGUUUCAACCUAAAAAUGUGAAUAUCUCAAGAUUCAACCGUAGGUUUUUGAUAAUUUUUCAAGAUUCGGAUUUCCCAUUCUGAGGGCUAUGAUAAGCACCCAUUAAUCUCAAGAAUAGCAAUCUGAAGUUAAGAGUUUAUCCAAAGCUUAAAUUUCAAGGUAUGUGAGGUUUGAAUAAGAACACCCUUUCGUUCUUGUGCCCAAAACUUAUUUUAGAUUAUAAAUUACUGAAUUUUUGAUUAUUUUCCAUGAAAUUCUAGUUGGGGUUUAUACCCAUGGUUGUUAAUUACAAGAUUAUAAGGUUCCCAAUGAUUUAGAAGUGUAAUUGUAUGACUAAUUUCAAAUAAUUAUGCAAGUAAUGUGAUUUUCCUGAUUUUUUCAAGUGAGUUUAAGCAUUAUAUUGUGAUUCUUGAUUUUUAUAUUUUGACAUUGUUGAAGUAUUUUCAAGAAGUAUAUUGAGUAUGAUGUUUUGCUAUGAUAUUACAUGAGUAUGUGUACAUUUUCAUGCUUAUUGCUGAAAUUUUUAGAUUUUGAGUUGAUUCAUCAAUAUUUACACUAUCAAGCAUGAAUCUUUUGGUGUUUUAAUACGAGUUCGAUAUAUGGGUCAGUAACCCCUAUUUAAAGAUUGCUAUUUUGAGAAUUAGUUAUUGAGGACUUCUAAUGAGUUAUUGAGGACUUCUAACGAAUUGCAAGAAGUAUGUUUAUAUUUCCAUUAUUAUGAGAUCUUUAAAGCUUUGAUGAUGAGUCUAUCUAGAUUUCAGGAAAGAGUUGUUUUUUUGAACCCAAGUAAGAAAAGAAAUUCACAUUUGAUUGAUUUAUGAUAAAGGGUAGCAUAAUGGCUCCCGAUGAAAAUUGUUGAAUUAAUUAUUGUGGAUUAUUUUUAACGUUCUGAGCUAAGUCUGGAAGUAGUAUUUAGCAUCAAGUGGGAAGUGUGGUACUUCCCUAGAGCUACAUGCCCCCGUAGGAUAUGAGCUUGAGGAUGAUAUAGUGAUCACUAAUGAACUAAAAAGUUAAGGUUCUAUCCGAUGGAAAGGAUAGGACAGCUCUCCCCAAUAUAGGUAAGAUAUUGGACUCCAUGUAGCUCACAUGGUUUAUGUCGGUUAAGAGAAACUCCCAAAGUAGUCCCCUACUCUAUCCAAGAUAAAGGUAUAUAUUUUUCGAAAGCUAUGAUUCCAAGAUUUCUAAGGUUCUCAAGUGUCAAAAUCUUUAAGUUUUCAAAGAAGUUCUUAGUUUUCAUGAGAUUAAAGUGUAUGUUCGGAAAGAUGUUGUUUUAAGACAUUAUCUAUACUACAAGUUUGAGAACAAAGAAAGGAUGCAGAUUUAGAAUGAAGUGAAAUAAAUCAAGAGAUUUAUACUAAAUGUUUAAUUAUUCAUGAUUUAUGAGAUUUAUAUUUCAGAUAUUAUUCAAGCUAUGUGAGUAGUUUACGUGAGCAUGCAUAAUUUUAUAAACUGUGAUGAUAUUGAGAUAUUAUUUUAUAUAUGCAUUGCACCCCCAUAUACUCAGUACAUCCUCAAAGUACUGAUCCACAUAUACGUUUAUGUGAUACAUUGUCUCAUAAUGUAGGUAUAAGUUUUAGUAUGCACAUCAAACUCAGACGGUUGCAUAUUUUAGCCAGCAGAUGAUAUGUCCUCCUACUUCGAAGAUUUACGUUAGAUGUCAUUAUAUAUUUUCUUUCUUUAUUUCUCUUAUAUAUUGAUUAGUGAUAGUUGGGGUCGCAUCCUAGCUAUCUAUAGCCAGUAUUAGUAGAGGCUUCAUAGACAGUUUGAACAAUCAUUUUAUUUAUCUCAGUUUCUUUGUAAAAGCAGAGUUGUAAUCAUGUGAAUUCACUUUUGUAUUGAUUAGAUUCAGAAAAGCUGUAUCUGUCGCUUACUUUGUUCAGAUUUAUCUAUCUUAUUUAGUUGCUUAUGAGUUAUUCCAGUAGAAGGGUUAGCUUGGGGUCACUUAUGACCCUAAGCACCGUGUGAUAUCUUGGGACCCAAUUUCAGUGCGUUAUAUAUGGACUAGUAGGAAAUGAGCUGAUUUGGUCAUCCUGUUUGUGAUGACCCAAACUAAAUCAUGCUGUCGACGAGUACAAGGCAAACCCGUCACAAAGUCCAUGUUCACUUCUUCCGAUUUCUAGGUUUGAAUAUUGAACUCCUGCAUGGACCCACUUGGUUUCUGAUGCUUGAUCUUAACCUGCUGACAUGUUGAGCACUUAGCCACAAACUCUGCAAUAUCUCUCUUCAUCGCACUCUACUAAUAGAUCUCCCACAAAUCAUGGUACAUCUUAGUGGCCCCUGGAUGAAUAGAGUAGCGCACACCAUGCGUUUCUGCAAGAAUUCAUUGUCUUAAGUCGUCUACACAUGACACACAUAGCCGACGCUGACAACGUAAAACACCAUUUCCCCCUUCGUAGAAAACCUCUACUUUCUGAUCUAUGACUGAUUCCUUCAACUUAGCUAGAUCGGGUUCCCUAUUCUGCUUUUCUUUACCUCAGAAACCAGGGAUGAUUCUGAACUACUCUGCACCUAUAUACUACCUUCUACUGAAUCAACUAACUGUAUACCUAAUUGGGAAAUCUGAUGAACUUCCUAAACUAACUUCUUCAUACCACCCUCCACAUGAGCAACAUUACCCAUAGACAUUUUACUGAGAGCAUCAACCACUACAUUGGCUUUACCCUGUUGAUACAGGAUGCUCAUGUCAUAGUCUUUCAACAUCUCCAACCACCUUCUAUGAUGGAAGUUUUAAUAUUUCUGAGAGAAUACAUACUGAAGGCUCUUAUGGUCAGUGAACAGAUCAGCAUGCACCCUAUACAAAUAGUGCCUCAUAAUCUUUAAGGAAAAUACUACUGAUGCUAUCUCAAGAUCAUGAGUAGGUAGUUCUUUUCAUUGAGCUUAAGCUGUCUAGAGGCAUAGGCUAUAACCUUACCUAUCUACGUCAAAACACACCCCAAAAAGACUCUGGAGGCAUCACAAUUGUAUUACCCUAUACUAUUACCCAGCUUGAAUUCAUUCUAAAAAUGUUAAAGACAUGUUUUAAAGAUUAAUCCAUUUUUAUACACGUGUAAUUUUCAAGAUUUUCACUUUUUUUCAUGUGGAAAAUUCAAUAAGCUUUCCGUUGAUAUAAUAUUCUCCUAAAUCCGAUAAUCAGGUGAGAAGUUAUGGCAAUUUAAAUUUUCAGUCGUAAAACACCAUCAUCUCAGUUAGUGGCGCGUCGCACCAUAAGCCAAAUAAAAUUUGUCAAUUUCUAGUAAGACCCCGCAAUUUCCCCCACGUUGUGGAGAGCUCCCAAAUCCUAAUUGUCAAAUACCAGUGAAGCUCCAUGAUGACCCCGCGUCACAUCACCAUCCAAUUUUCCAGUUGUCAAAUUCCAGUGACACGGCGCGAUAGCGCUACAGGGGUUCAGGUCGGGAAAUUUUUAAAAAAUUUAAACGACUCAUCAAGGGUUAAAUGAGUGUUUCCCCAUGAUUUUAAUUCAGCCUUAAACAUGAAAUUUAACCCUACAUGACCUAAGGACAUCAUUAUUCACUUUAUUUUCCCCAAUUUCUUCAUACUCUCUCAAAGCCAAGAAACCCUAAUCUUAAAAAUUCAAGGGAAAGGAUCAAGAAUCUCUUCGAGGAUCUUUACAGAGUUACAUUCUAAGGUAUGCACAGUGUUGAUUUAUGGAUUCCUUCCAUCCAUAAAGCUCAAGAACCCUAUUUCAAGUUAAAAAUCAUAAUUUUUGUGUUGUGGGUUGUUUGUAAUCAUGUUUACCUUGUUGUAUGAUUCCCAAGUUAGAAUCUUUAUGUUCUUUCUAUAAAACCACGUUACCAAGUGAGUGAAAUCCAUGAAUUGAGUGGUUUAUAAUAUGCCAAUUUGAUAAAUUAUUCCUAUUCCUAAGUUGUGCAUGCAAGGUGUUUGAUAAAAUGCCUAAAAAGAUAGAAACUAGGCAUUUUAGCUCAAUUUUGGAUCCAAAUGACAAAUGCAUGCUUUACCUUAUAAUCGAAGUGACUUCUAUAUAUUGUUGUGCAUUAUGAAUGUUUGAUGGAAUACUCAUGAGACUAGGUGAUGAAAUUAUGACAUAUUCAUAUGCAUAACCAUUUUUAUGUAUAAGAUUAUGAUAACCAUGUGCUUCAUGAAAUCCCCAACAUAUGGUAUUAUGAAUUGUGGACUUUAGCCAUGUAUUCAAGAAUGUCAUGCCUUGUCAGUUUACUUCGAUCGAGUCCUGGGGGUACCGAUACUUGUACCCAAAAAUUUAGCUGUGUUCCUAGAGACAGUGACAUGUUUUCAUGAUAUCCUCAGUCAAGCCAUGAUCCAUAGAACUGAGUUAGUCAUGUGACUCAAGAAAACUCAGUAAUUCAGUAAUCUCAAUAGUAUUCCAUCAGUUAACAAUACUCUAAGAAUUCAAUGUAGUCCAGUUCAAUUAAUCAUGUUCAGUGCCUAUUCAGAUAGGAGUAGGAAUUUGCACCGAGGGAACCCAAAGAUGGGAACACACACUGUCAGAUGAGGGUGUGAUUCUUAGAAGUAAUCCAUGCAUUACAGAACUAUGUAGCUAGAAUAAGUUGAGACAUAAACACAGUCAGAUGAGGGUUGAUGAAGUAGAUUAGUACUAUCAGAUGAGGGCCCCACAUUUUCUUUUGGGUACACUAUUAGAUAAGGGUUACGCAUAGUUUGUCCUUACCAGUGGCGCGGUAUUGAAACCUUUCUAAUUGGGGUUACAGAUUGGACCCCAACUCAGCUAUAAUGCAUUAUUUGGGGUAUAUCGGUUAGAUGACUACUUCCCACAAUUUUAGUUACAGAAUCAGGACUAUUAGAUAUAGUCAUUCAGUCUCAGUAAUAGAACUCAGAUAGUUUUACAGAAUUCAGGAUUGUUAGAUACAGUCAACUAGGGAUGGCAAUGGUGUGGUGCGGUGUGGGUUUUUACUAAACCCGCAAGUUUUAAAACUGUACUGCACCGCACCACAACAUAUUUAAUCCCGCAUAAACCCGCCCCACAUUCAUACCCGCGGAUAACUGCACCGUACCGCCCCAUGUUUUUAUUUUUAUCCUUUUUUAAAAAAAUUUGUAACUCCAUUAAAAAUCAUAAUAUUUUCAAAUCUAUAACUAGAAAAUAAUAAAUAAUUUCUAUUAUAUCACUUUUCACUAAAAAUUUGUCAAAAAUUAUAUCGUGUACAAGUAAUGAUCAAAUAUCAUAUUUUUCUUCAAAUGAAUAGAGAUGUUAAAAAAGCUAAUAUAAAAUUAUUUAUUUGUAUUGUUAUGCAUGUAGUUUUAAGUAUCAUAAAAUUUAAGUAAAGAACAUAUAUAAUUUAGGUAUAUUCACGAGAACAAUACUAUUUUUUUAAUUUUUUGUUAAUUUAAACCUGCAUAUACCUGCAACCUGCACCGCAUCGCACAAUUAAAAUAAAAACAUACUUUAACCCACACUGCACCCGCACCGCACCACAUAAUUUAAAACUCACAUCGCACCAUAUAGCUUAAAACCCACACAGCACCGCACCCGCACCACCCCAUUGCCAUUCCUACAGUCAACUCAGAACAGUAUAGAACUCAGCUAGUUCCAUCAGAACCUAGACUGUCAGAUACGGUCUCUCAGUAUCAGUUUUUUUUGUUAUACAGUUAUUAGUAUUGUAUGUUAUCAGUACUCAGACUCAGUAAUCAUGUUAUAACAAACUCAGUUACAACUAUUAUGUAUUCAUACAUGUAUUCUCACGUUCAUGUUAUCCAGUCAGUUACUGUAGUUCAUGUAUGUGAACCUUUUUGCAUUCAGUCUACCUCAUAUGCAUACCAUUUCAUUCAAUCAUACUAACGCAUUUGUGCUAUAAUAUUUUACACCAUACGUUCAGAAGCACGAGCUUCAGAGCAUUAGUAGCAUUCCAGUUUCGACAGUCAGAGUUAGCAGUGAGUCCUCAUCCUUCGAGGAUAUGAUCAUUACUUAUUAUUUCAUUACUUAGCUUAUUUGAGUAGUUGGAUUUAGUUGGGGACAUGUCCCAUCAGUUCCUUAUUCAGACAGUUAAAGGUUUUUUAGACUAUUAUGUUCAGACAUUUUAUUUUAGUUGUUUUGGGUAUUUCAUACCCUACCCAAAUGUUAUAUUUUAUCAUAUAUUAUGUCUCGAUUGUGAAUCUUACUGCCUUAUUGCCUUUAUUUUUGUAUUAUACAGUAUAGUAUGUAGUGUUCUGGUACAGAUAUCAGUUAUGAGUUAGCUUGUGGUCCUUUGGGGUCAUGAUCACCAUGUAGCAUUUCCGGUACCAAAUUCAGGGCGUUACAACAAUAUACCACAAACCCGUCUGAACCAUCUAGUAAAUUUAGGAAUGGAGCUGUAAUGUGUUGAGUCUUCAACUCCUAAAAGCUCUUCUCAAAAGAAUCUGACCAUUGGAAUUUGACAUUCUUCUGAGUCAAUCUGGACAUAAGGGAUGCAAUAGAUGAAAAUCCCUCAACAAAUAUAGGUAAUAACCAGCCAAGCAUAAGAAACUCCUGAUAUCUGAUCGUGAGAUGGGUCUAGGCCAGUUUCUCACUACUUUGAUCUUUUAGGAAUCAACUUUAAUGCUAUCACCGAAAAUAAUAUAGCCAAGAAAAGCUACUAACCUUAGCCAAAAUUUGCACUUACUAAAUUAGGCGAAUAACUGAUGGUUUCUAAGAGUCUGCAAUAUAAUUCUGAGAUGGUUUGCAUGAUCACGCUCACUGCGAGAGUAGAGAAGAAUGUCAUCAAUGAAGACUAUGAUGAACAUAUCCAAGUACUGCUUGAACACACGAUUCAUCAAGUCCAUAAAAUCUGGUGGGGGCAUUGGUAAGACCAAAUGACAUGACUAAGAAUUCAAAGUGACCAUACUGAGUUAUAAAAGCUAUCUUCAGAAUGUUAUAUUCCCUAACCCUGAGCUGAUGAUAGCCUGAUCUGAGGUCUAUCUGGAGAAGAAACUGGCACCCUAAAGUUGGUCAAACAAAUCACCAAUUCUGGGAAGGGGAUACUUCUUCUUGAUCGUGACUUUAUUUAACUGGCGGUAAUCAAUACACAUUCUUAGAUAAUCGUCUUUCUUAAUUGGUAUGCCCCAUGGGGACAUACUGGGUCUAAUAAAUCCCUUAUCUAGGAGAUCUUUUAACUGUUCUUUUAAUUCUCUGGGUUCUGCAGGUGCCGUUCUAUAAGGCGGGAUAGAUAUGUGUUGAGUAUCUGGAAAAAGGUAUAUUUCGAAGUCAAUUUCCUUUUUGGGAGGAACUCCAGGGAGAUCUUCAAGAAACACAUAUGGAAAUUCACAUGCUACUGACACUGAUUCAAUGUUAGGGGGUUUUGAAUUAGAGUCUUAGACUCAAAUGAGAUGGUAGACCCAUCCCUUAGAUAUCAUAUUUCUUGCUCGAAGGUAAGAAAUAAGCUGACCCCUAAGUGCUGAAGCACUACCCCUCCAUUCUAGGACGGGCUCAUUCAGAAACUGAAACUAGAUAAUUUUGUUUCUGCAUUUGACUGAGUCAUACAAGGAGUGAAGCCAAUCCAUUUCGAGAAUGACAUCAAAAUUUGUCAUCUCUAAUUCGACUAAGUCUACUGAAGUGACUUCCUGAGAUACCAUAAUCGGAUAGUUCCUAUAUACCCGCUGAGCUAUGACAGAUUUACCCACUGGGGUAGAGACUAAGAAAGUCUCUGCUAGGAUUUUGGGACUGACUCCAAAGUAAACAACUAUACAAGAAGUAACAAAGGACAAAAGAGCUCUUGGGUCUAGCAAAGCAUAAACAUGUAAAUGAUAAACUUGUAAUGUACCAGUGACCAUAUUAGGAGAACUCUCCUGAUCUUGUCAGGACAAAAGUACGUAGAGUCUGUUUGGGCGCUACCCACUAGUGGAACUAGAUGCGGCACCUACUAAUUUGAACGAUCGGACUGAGCUAGAGGAUGGUUAUGAUGACUUUGAGAACCCACCUGAGGAUACUAUCUGACCCUGUGGCCUAGCUUGCAACACUCGAAACACACAUCACUGCCAGCUAUGUAGAUACCCUGGUGGUUUCUGCCAUACUUUUGACAAAGGGGAUUGGUUCGGGCACUGCUAACACUACCUUGGGGUUUAGGGCCUGACACCUUAUCUCAAUUGCCAUCUUUGAAAUUUGGCAUAGGAGCAAUAGCUGAGGAUGGAGCUAGAAUUGAGGAUUUUAGGUGGAACUGAGAACGAUUCCCACCCUCUGAAUUAGGCUGAAUGAAGUUGAUACUACCUAUUCUAGCUUUUUUGUUCUCCCUCUCCUUUUCUUUAUUCUUAGCCUCCUCUAUCUUCUAAGCAUGGACCAUGAGCCUGGGUAUGUAUAUCACCUUAAUCAACAUUACGGUCCUACAUUCCUUAACCAUACUAUUAGACACGCCAAAAACAAACUUACUCAUCUUAGAUCUACUAUCUACUACCACAUGAGGAGCGUAUCUGGAUAAUUGAGUAAACUUAAGAGAAUACUCUUGCCUCAUCAUAUUUCCAUGCUUCAUAUUUAUAAACUCCAAAACCUUUGCUUCCCCCAACUUUAGCGGGAAGAACCUAUCCAAAAAAGCAACAACAAACUUCUCCCAUUCUAUGGACCCUGUAUUUGUGACCCUUUUCGCUUUCCACUAUUUAAACCAUGAGUGUGCCAUAUCCUAUAACUGAUAUGAAGCUAACUCGACACUUUCACUAGCUGUCACCCCCAUAAUAUCUAUAACUCUCUACACCUGAUCAAGAAAUUCCUAGGGUUUCUCAUCUGAUUUAGACCCAAUAAAAGAUGGAGGGUUCAUUCAGGUAAAAGCCUGAAUCUUGGCAGUACCAGUAUUAGCCAGUGGGUUGGCUGGAGCAACAGCUGAAUGUUUAUUCUAGGCUGCCACAGAAUGAACUAGGGUGGUGAAAACUGCUCUAAACUCAGCGUGGGAAACAUGUUGGUCCAGAGGAUCUGGCUGGAUAGACUGGGGUUCUGGAUGGUCUCCUAUUUCUCUUCCCUUAGUCCUCUUUGGAGGCAUGUUCUAUGAAUGGAAGAGAAACUUGGAUUAGAUAGAGAGUUUAACUGGAGCUCAUUCUAACUUACACGAUAUGAGUAUUGAAAGAAGGGAAACUUUUCCUAAAACAUGUCGUAGCCGUCUGUCCAUAAGUGUGGCACUCUACACACCCAUGCAUAAAAUUCUACUAGAUGUGACUUUUAUACUUCCUGGGACUCUAGUGAACCUUAGGCUCUGAUACCAAGUUUGUUAUGCCUCGAGUCUGUACCCCGGACGCUACAAGUGCUCAUAAUAUUGAAGGACCACAAGCUAACCCAUGACUGAUACCUGCUGAAAUAAUUAAAUAGCAAUAUUAUAAAUAUGUGGAAAUUAGGGAAAAACUUACCAUAAGGCUCAAUACUAAAAUAAAACUGAAUUCGGUAUAACAAUACCCAAACUGAAACAUUUGUCUGAAAAUACUCUAGUUUGAAAAGCUUCUACUGUCUGAAUCAUGGAGUUGAUGGGACACGACCCCAACUAACUCCAACUACUGAAAACUAUACUGAUAAACCUAAAUACUAAAGAAAAUAAUCAUGUGUAUGAACUAUGAGGACUCACUACUAACUCUGACUACUGAAGAUCUGAACUGCUAAGGGUUCUCAGGAGAUCGUGCAUCUGAACCUAUAAUAUAAGACAUCACAGUGUAAGAGAAAAGUAUGUGUCAGUACUUGAAUAUACUGGUAUGCAAAGUAAAGUAAGCUGAAGUGCAUGGGUUCAUAUGCAUGAACAAUACUAACUGAAUGAGAGUACAUGUAUGAAUAUGUAUACUGUAACUGAGAUCGUGAUAACACUAAAUAUUGAGCUAUGGAUUACUGAUUUACUAUUAUUUGAGGUUACUAAUACUGUGUAACUGAUAGAUGAAUGACUGUAUCUGACAGUCCUAAUUCUGUUUCAUGUUGCUGAGUUCUAUACUGAACUAAGUGACUAUGUUUGACAGUACUGAAUUAGUAAAACUUAACUAAGUUUUAUACUGAGACUGAAUUUGAAGCUGAGAAUGUAAGAGGUAAUCAUCUAAUUGAAAUGCCCCUUCUAAAUAGAUUGGGGUCCAACCUGUAACCCCAGUUGGAAGGGUGUCAAUGUCGUUCCAUAGAUAGAGUCAAGCUGUAAAUUAACCCUCUUCGAUAAGAAGCUCUUUUGUCAACUCUCACUGACAGUAAAACUUAUGUGAGAUAUAUCAACCCUAAUUUGGUCGGAAGAUAUCUUAACCUACGCUAGCUAUGUAGUUCUGUAACGCAGAGAUUGCUACAAGGGUCAAACCCUCUGCUAGCAGAAAUGCCCCCAUCCCUGGGUUAAGUUAGUGCUGAACCAUACUCCUAAUUAAAUAGACACUGAACUGAUUUUCUAGUUCAUAUUAGGCUUGACUGAACUGUUACUGAGCUUACUGAGUUCCGUUGACUGAUACAGUACUACUGAAUUCUAUUAGCUAAUUGAGCUUACUGAGGUCCAAACUGAAUAUUGAACUAGAUCGGACUAAUGCUGAGUCUACUGAGUUGUUUCCUGAGUACUAUAACUGACUUAGAGUACUACUGAUCGUGACAUGACUGAGAUUAUUCUAUAAUUGACACUGGAUCUAGGUAAACAGCUAAAUUGUCAGGCAUUAAAUACCCCUAGGACUCGAUAACAUGAAAAGUAAAGAAUCACAUAACCUUGCAUAGCAUACAAAUACACUCUUGUUCAUAAUGCAUCUAUAGAGGCAUUUUGUCAAUCACUUGCAUGGUAUGAACUAGUCCAUAUACUAGCAUGAUAUCAUCUUAUUACUGCAUUCACAUGAGCAGUACAUCAAGCACUUAGAUGGCAUAGUAUAUGCACAUAAUACUAAACAACAUUUGAGCAUCAUGAUUCAAUUCCAAAUUCACAAUUCCAUGGGUUUCAACAUGAAUUCACAUGAUAAAUCAUGCAAAUCAAAUAAUUCUUGAUCAAACUUGUAAUAAAUCAUGAACUAAAAAACCCAAUUAAAUAGUACUUAUGAAUACACUUUAAUUCCAAAUCAUUGAAAUCAUGAAAUCGAUCUACUUGAAGUUUAAAAGUGUUUCUUGGACUCCAAGGGUGGAAGGAACCCUUAGAUGAACAUUUCACAUAGCUUGGUUUUCAAAUUCUUGAAGAAUAAUGGAGAAAUCUUGAGCCUUGGCUUUGAAAUUAAAUCACCUAGGGUUUUUGUUCUUGAGCAAUUUGAGAGAAAGGGAGUGUAUUUUUCUUAAUGUGGACUGAAUCUCGUGUUUUAGGGCUGAAUAGGAGUAGGAAAAAGAUCCAAAUACUCCUAAGGAUGCGGCUUUUUAAUGAUUAAAAAUCAAACUGUCGAUGCACAGACCCAAGCACCACCUCAUUGGCAUCAAUGUGAUGGCCAACACGCCACGUCGAGUCCACGUCGGUUUACUAGAAUUUACACCGAGCUGAGGGAAAAAUUAUCUUUCUACGCGAUGGACGAUGCGACACGUCGAGAUCAUAUCGACUUAGUGUUUUGGUCAUUUGAACAUGGUCUAAACGAGGUCUGAAAAAUCCAAAACUUUUUUGGGAGCACCUAGUGACAUUCUUGAUCAUGAAUCAAUCUAGAGGUCGAUACUUAAGGUCAUAAGAGUCGUGAAAUAGAGUUACCAACUUACAAAGGCCAAAAUAAUACUAAGUCUGAAUAUAUAGCUAGAAUUUUCUAAGUCUGGGACCCCUUAGCAAGCUUAAAAGACUGAGUUGAGCUUAGGAUUUUGUGGGGUCUUACAGAAGGAAAGAUAUAUAGUAAUAUACAAGGAAAAGUAAUAUGUAUAUAUAUAUACCGUAGUACCAUAUUUUCAUAUAACUAGAUAUAUAUAUAUAUAUAUAUAUAUAAAUGAGAAUAUAUAUUUACAUAUAAACAUGAGGUCAUCUCAAAGCAUAACCUAUACAUCAUAUUCUUAUUUAAGACAUCAUUAUAAUACUUAUUAGGAUUUAAAUACUAUCAUACUUGGGGUUUCUAAUCCAUAUGGCUAGAUAUGAAUUAAUCUUGCAUAAUAAUGCAAUCAUAAGAUAGGAGAGGCCGAAAAUGUACCUUAAAUCGUGAUACCGAAUCAAGGACCAAUCUGUAAUAAGCUAUCCAUAAUAAUGAUCAUAACAAUGAUAACAACAAUAUCAAUAACGACGUGAAUAACUGGCUACUCUGGGAAACCAAAUACCUCACUGAGCCUAUGCAUACCCCUACCGCCCUAGACUCAGAAGGUUCAAUCAACACACAACAACAUAGAGCAUAUUCUUCACGCAUAUCCACGUAACCGUCCCAUACUGGCUAAUAGACAUAGGUGCAUACUGGUGAUAGGCGAUACACAUGCAGGGAUGAAUGCAAGGUACACAAUUAAUAUCAUAACUCAGCAUAACUAUCAUUAUCAUGAUCAUUAUUAUUGCAAUUAACCUCCAACCUUGUUGGGUAUCAACGUAUCAUCAUAAUAUCCGCUAGCCCUGUCGGGUAUAAAUAUAAUCACAAUCCAUCCUCUGGCCUUUUUGGGUAUCAAUAUCAUCAUAAUAUUAUUCUCUAGCCUUGCCGAGUGUCAAUAUAAUCACAAUAGUUUCCUCCGGCCUUGCCGGGUAUCAAUAUCAUCACAAUAGUAACCUCCAUCUUUGCCAGGUAUCAAUAUCAUCACAAUAACCAUUACAGAAUAACAUAUACUAAUAUAAUCAUAAACAUAAUCAUAUCACCAUAUAGUAUCUAUCUAGAAAUUUCCUAACUACUCAUUAUUAGCUAAUCAAUGCUAUUAGUAAUGAAACUACUAGGUCGCUCGUCUUCACACGACCUCUAGUUAUUUGUCUAAACAUUAUACUUAUUCAGGGGAUAACAACUAACCAUUAUAUACUAAAUAGCCAACAUUUAACAUCUAACCAAGGUUCAUCACUAGAUCAUAAUCACCAUUUAUCCACCAUUCAUUUUUAUCAACUACUCAUCCUAUAUCUGUUAAUCAUUAUUAGACAACACAUUACUAUUUAUCACCAAACCAUCUUUUAUUAACUAACAUCAUUCAUUAACUAACCAUCGUUAACCAACUAAUCCUUUUUUAACUAUUCAUUAAUCAAUCAUUUAGGAAAUAUUCUGCGUUAUUAACUAAACACCUCUUUAUUACCGACAUUAGUUAUUAUCUAGCCUCAUCAAUAUAUAACCCCUCAUUGGACAACUAAUUGACAUUAUAAACUUAGUCAUCAAUAACACUAAUCUUCACCUAUGCUAAACCAGACAUCAUCAUUAGCCAUGCAUCAACCAUCGAUAGCUACCAUAUUUCAACUAAGCAAGACUCAUUAACUAAUACAUUUGAUUCCUAGCCACCAAGUGCUAUAGUCUCCUACAAGAGAACUAAUUACCACAUAGCGUAACCCUCAGUUAAGCAGAACAAUCAUAAGAUCAUAUUUAAUCUAGGAUCACAUAAGUUUUCAAUAUAAUAAUCAUGAAUAUACCAAAUAUAUGCAUGCCAUCACCAGUAUUCAAUCAAUAAAGUUGUAAGAAACACACCACAUUUUCCUCCAUUCCAUAUCGGAGAGAUGAAUACACAAACAUAUACAUAUUUAUAUUCAUAAACUGUAAUCACAUUAUUUAUAAUGAUAAAUACUUCUCAACUAUUCAAUCACUAUCAUAACACUGCCUCUGGUCCAUUAAUUUAUUUGAAAUAAUCACAAUAUCAUAAUCAUGGCUUUAGGACCACACAAAUCAAGAAUUCAUAUCAAUUAUCAUAUUUAUAAGCCUUAGCAUAUCCCUAAUCAUCUUACAUAUAGGAGGCAUAAUAUUGAUAAGCAUGGCAUCAUCUCUCACACAAGUGGCAUCUCACAUCUAAGAGGAAUAAUAUAGAUAGACAUGUAUUUGUGUAUAGGAUAUCAUAUAUCAAUAGCUCAUACAUCAUAACAAUGAGGAAUAUCACUUCUCUAGGUCAAUUUACAUAUCCAAGAGGAACAUCAUCUCUAUAGGACCAACAAUCAUAACUAAAGUAAAUAGCAACUCUAUAGGCCAAUCAUCAAGUCUAAGAAGAAAUAACAUCACUAUAGGCCAAUCAUCAAGUCUAAGAGGAAAUAACAACUCUAUAGGACAAUCAUCAAGUCUAAGAGGAAAUAACAUAUCUAAAGUCCAACCAUCAAGUCUAAGAGGAAAUAACAACUUUAUAGGACAAUUAUCAAGUCUAAGAGGAAAUAGCAUCUCUAUAGUACAAUCAUCAAGUCUAAGAGGAAAUAAUAUCUCUAUAGGCCACAUAACGUAUCGAGGAGAAAUAUCAUCUCUAAAUGCCCAAUAUCACUUCCACAAGGAGUAUCAUAAUCAUAACUCCAAAUCCAUAAUUUGGGAACAUCAAUACAAGUGACCAAGUUAUGAUGUAACUUUAUUCAAACGUUUACUAGCCUCAUCUAUUUCUAAUAUCCACAACUAAGUCCACAGGACUUAACACAAGCUUAGGCCUAAGUGGGCCAAAUGAUCCCACAUCUAAUCCACAAUUUCCAUAAUUAGGCAUACUAUACCCCAAUCUAGGCUAAGGUAUCUAGUUUAUCUUCUAGAUGUCAAGUAAGCCAUAUUCAAGCCUAAGAUAGAAACUUUAACUAGAAAUACGGGCACUUAAGUCAACUCUAGCCAACUUAAGAUUUCAAGACUACCACACUAGACCAACAAAGCUAAAUAUACAAAUAAUGCUUCAAAUGCUAAAAUCAUAUUCCAAACAUAGCAUUAUAUUAUAUCCAUGCUAUAACUAAUAUAAACUAAUGAGAAGGCAAUAUAAUUUUACAAAGUUAUAAACAUACUAUCUUACGGGUCCAAGACCCUCAUCUAAUUUCCAAGGCAUCAAAAAUCAAGCCUAAGCUAUCUUACUCACAAUCAAUCCUAACAUUCAUAUCCACACAAAAUACAUAUCAUACAUCAUCUAUGAAGGAAAGUGGACAGGAGCCUACCUCAAGGCUAAACCGCAAAACCUCACUUCAUGCACCACAUGAUCACCUUCACUUUACAAUCCUUAAAAUGCCAUCACACUAUCAAAAUCAUAAUCUACCCAUUAAUAUGAGUCUAAUGAUACCCAUAUUUCACUACUAUGCUCUGGAUCCAAAUAUGAAACCAAAACUCCAAGUGUGUCUUACAUACGGAAAAUGAGUUUCCAAGGCCAACCCAAUGUUCACAAGUGAACAAGGAAUCAUAACCCUCAAAGAAUGGGUGAAAACUAAGCAUACUUUGGGCUAAAAUCAAAUCCUAAGCUAAAUUGGGUUUUUGGGUCCAAAUAAAGAAAUUCAAGCAUGAAUUCAAAUUCUUACCUUAAUCUUGAAGAUAAUUGUGAUAAAACAUGAUAAUAAGCUCCCAAGUCAGCCCCCAUGAGAAAUUUUUAGUUAUUGAAAAUAUACUUGAUAACGCUCAAACUACACCUCUCAAUAAGAAUGUAAGCGAUCAUUGUCAAUAUAAAACCCAACUAGGUUGGGGUCAAAUCCCACAGGGAGUAUGCUGUGAACUCAAGUCAUUUGCAAUUUAAUCCACUAGUAGUUUAAUGUUUCCUAAAAUGGGGGGUUUGAGUUUAACAAUUAAUUAUUGGUCACUUUAAUUUCAGUGUUUGUAAUCAAGAGUUUAUGAAAUAACCAGAAUUAUGUUCACUAGGGCUUUCGGUACUUAACAGAUGAUAAUAGUGGUUCAAGAUUCUCACGUUAGGUAGGACACCAAGUUAUCUUUAUCGAAGUUAUGCUUAAAUGUGUCUCGACCUAUUUAAGCAUUUAUUACCUAAUCCUCUCGGACUUAGGGAAUUUCCAAGUCCUUUUUAAUAAUUCACUUCCCACUAUAUUUGAUUUAUUUCUCAUGCAAAUCAAAGCAGGUGUUGUCUAUUAUUUGAAACCAACAAACUUUAAUUAAAACCUCAAAAUUAUCAAGAAAUCCUACCACCUUUCGAAUCCCAUAAUUUAGGUUAAUGGAAUUUAGCCACUCAUAAUGCAAAAAUCAAAACAACGAGUUUUAUUCAUGCUUUGAAAGUUAAAAUUACCAUAAGAAGAAUAAUAACUAGUGAGUCGCAGAUUAGAUCACAAAGGAAAUCCCAAAAUAAUGAUAAUAAUCUCUUCAAAGUAUUUGCUUUUUCAAGCCAAAAAUAGAGAGAGAAAUAUCUAAGUAUAUUGUCAAAACUCACUGUGUCGAAUCAGAAAACCCUAAAACAAAGCUUUUAAAUAGUUCACCCUAAUUGUGGAAACAAAAUAAUAAAAUUUAGAUAUACCUCGGAUUAGGUGACGACAUUUAUGUUAGCCUAUCAGGAGGCUGAAUACUUGUCACAAAUAUCAUCAGCUUCUUCUUUAGUUUUGGCUCUUCCUACUUAAGGCUGACGACAAUCUUGAUACCUUAUCAACUCCUUGAUGACCUAUCAUAAAAUGUCGCCAAGGCUCUGCUUCAGUUCUUCAGUGCUGCCUUACGUUGACGACAUUCUUGAUAGCUUAUCAGACCCUUGACGAGUUAUCACAAAAUAUCAUCAAAGACUUUAUCUUAGGCCAAUUCUCUGUCUACAGAUGACAAUGACCUUGAUAGCUUAUCACAAGGCUGAUAAUUUAUCAUAAAUGUCGUCAACCAUACUUUUCUUCAGAUUUCAAUUUCUUUGCUUCUAUUUUUGUUGGUUCUAUAUCAUAUUAGCUUCUACUAUAAAAUCAAACAUAAACCAAUCAAAAAUGACAAAAGUUGCUUAAGACUUUGCAAUUAUUCUUAGUCAAAAGCCUCAAAUGUGUUACCGUUAGCUCACACAUCAACACCCUCAACUUAAAACAAUUGCUUGUCCUUAAGUAACUCAGCACAACUAAGAGAAUACAAAGUACAUUUGGCAGUCAAUCAUCCAUAUUAUCUUAGAACACUUUCACCAUCUCCAAGGUCACUCAAUUCAAGAACAAUGAAGAACACAAAUGAACACAAAGGGAUCCAUAUACGACAUCAAUUUAACUAUAACAACCAUGCAUAGACCAGUAUUACACUACCCGAAUAAGUUAGUAACUAGCAAUGUAAGCAGUGUGCCAUUAAAGUAAAGAAAUACCCCUUAUCUCAUAUCAGGAAUUAUAUAUGUAACCAUGGAGAUAAUCAAAACACUUACUCUCAGAAUAAAGUUCCAAUCAGUGUAUGAAAAGUACCAUAGGCUUGCCCUUAUUUGCAUUACCCAGAUCUUUAGAUAGGUCCGUUAGGAUCACUAUAGGACUUCUCUUAGGCUUGUAAUAUAGGCUAGGGGCUGGUAGGAUACUCGAUGGUAUUUAAAGUGACUAAGCCUCCCUGAAACUAGACUAGCUUUUUGGGGUUUCACUUGUUAUCUCUUUUUACUCUUCUCUUUCCUUGAUCACACUUAUUCAGGCUGAGUGCAGUUUUUAUCACAAUCACUUAUUAUUUUUCAUAAUUUUUCUUUUUUUUUCUUUUUUUCUCCAUACCUAGCUUUGUAUUCUUUUCUUUUAUGCUACCUCUCUUUAUACUCAUUCUAUAUGACGUACCUCUAUGAUAGCCACCAUCAACUUAGGCCAUUUGCCUAGGUCAAGGUGCACAUUGUCCAAGGAGAACAAUGGCCAAAUUAGGUUCAUUAUGAUCUAAAUGAGAAAAUGAUAGGUAUCAUACAAAGAAAUAGGUUAAUUAAGCUCAAAAUAGGGAUCAAGGGAUACUAUGCACACAGGUAAGGUCAUUUAGGCGAAAGUGAGCUAAAAUCAAAACGGCCUAUAAUCCUUUCAUAACCCCUAUCAUUCAAUCUAGAUAAGACCAACUGGGUAAGUUCUGGCUUCAGCAUACAGAGGGAACUAAGUAGUUUCUCACACACACAUGGCCCACAAGUAUAUCACAAGCUAUGACUCAUUCAGUUCAUGCAACUUUUUAGCAAUAAUUACUAUAUUACUAGAACUAAUGCCAUAUAAAGAUGCACAGUGGUUACACUUGAAUGCAAAUCACACUAUUAAAGAAUUAGACCACUUGAAGAGGUGUACAAAAGUCACAAAAAAAAUUAAACUGCCUCAAGUAUAAGUACUUUUCCUAGCUAGCUACAAAAUUUUACAACAACAAUUUACUCCAUACCCUCAACUUAAAAUCAAAGAAAAUCUAAACUUAGGGUUAGAGUAUACCUGGACUGGAUCAUUCCCAGGGGUCAUGGUUCCCUAACACUACUGCUGCAUCUCCAUUAGGAGACUCGCUCUGUUCUGGUGCAGCUAGUCUUUCUGUCUCUGAAGGCCUACUAGUAAAGUCACCUGCUGCUCUCGCUCGGAUGGCUACCUCUCAUCUCUCAUCAUCAACUAGAGACUCGAUCCUUGCCCUCUCUAGCUCCUCCUUUUUCUUCUUCUUUCUUGCCCUCUUUUCUAUUAUUCUUUCUUUAUCACUGUUGGGCUUCUCUCUCUUCUCUUUUCCUUUUUUCUUACCUUUCUUCUUUUUUUUCUUUACCGGUCCCUCGGUGAUAUCAAACAAUGGGAUUUCUCCCUUUGACUCCUUUACUGUCAGCUCUAAUGACACCAUAAAUUGAUGUUGCUAUAACUUUAUAACCUCUGCCUUCACCUUGGCCAAUUCUUACCUAAGUAGUGACAUCUCUGGGUAUGACCUCUCCUUUGACCAUGCAUUAAAGCGAUUCUCCAAUUCAUCAAUCCAGCCCGACAGGGACUUGUAAGGCUCAAGUGCAGCCUUAACUUUUUUUUCAACUGUAACUGCGAAUUGCUUGGCAAAGAGUUUAAGCUGAGCCUUGCACCACUUGGACUAAUUUUCUACUCUCUUGAAAUUCAUAAGAGUAAAGGUAAAUUCUAUUGUAGGCAUAAUAGUUGGAGGAUUUGACUCAGUUCUAGGCACUGAUGAUUCUGCCAUUGUUAUGGAUAUUGGUGGUAUAGCUUCAGAAUUUGAUAUCUCUGCAUUAGGCACUGAACUAGUACCUAUGACUUGUGGAUCAGUGGGAAUCUUUGCACCCCUGUCAAGCAUUAGACCUCGCGACCCGAAUUUUUAUCUCUUCUAACUUGACAAUCGUAGGCACAUUCGGUGCCCUACACAACUUUAUAAUUAAAUAAGGGAAGUGAUAUGCUGUAUUAGACCUCGCGACCCAAAUUUUUAUCUCUUCGACAAUAAUCUCUCCAAAAUUUAAUUUGAGGUUAGCCACAAAACUUGAGAUUAAUAUUUCUCUGUCAUCCCCGAGAAUAUUAUCACUAUCUGUGGGCAUUAACCAAGUACGAAUACAACCCUACCAAAAUCUUACCUCUGCAGUCAGUGAGGCUUUGAAUAUUCUUUCACCUGGGUUGGUCAGCUAUUCCUAUUCCUCAUCUACUAUAAGUGUGGCUAACCAAGUCUGUUGAUUUUUGGGAUGCUUUAACCGGGUAUAGAAAGUGGGUGAAGAGGUCUGAGGAGUAAAAUUUGGGCCGUGAAGGAACAUACUGAUUGUUGCUUUAGAAACAUCCACCAUUACGCCCCGUACUGGAACUUUGUCCAACAAAGGUUGGUCAGCUGCUUUUUGUCCUUCUUUGCACAUGUUUUAUAACCAAGCUUGGUAGUUCGCAUAGAAUUCCCUAACUAGUGUAGGGCAGAAUGCAUUUCCUCCUUAUGUAGUCCAUCCUAACUCAUAGCCAUGAAGUUUUUGCUCCAUCUCUGGGUACCUGCUCAACCCCUUAGUGAUGAUUUUCUUCUCCUCAAAGGCUGGCCUCUUGACAGCUCUUUUGUUAUUUCUACGUAGCCCAGCAAAAAAGAUUUUCUAAGCUUUGGGAAUCAUCCAUAUAGUGCCAUCUCGGAUUUCAGGAUUCUUGUAUUUGACCAUAGUUCCCCAAAUCAGAGAGUCAUUAUCAUUUUGUGGCUUAGCAGAAGGGGACUCAGUUGUUGGUCCCUCAAACUCAUGAUCGUCAGACUUAGGUUGCUCUGAAUCAUGCUCUUCAGAUGAAGCAUGUCAUACUCUUGUUGCUCAGAGGCCGUCUAUUCAAAAGCUGUAUGCUCAGAUGUUGUUGGUUCAUUGUCACUUUCUUCACUCUCCUCCACCUCAACUGGUGGGGGUGGCAGAGUCUUUUUAGGGCUUUGCUUCUUCUUUUGAUUCCUGAGUAGAGGCUCUUCCUCUUCAUAAUUAGACUCCUCAUCAAUGAUUCUCUAGGGUACAGUCUUCUAUUGUUCCUUCUUUGUAAGUUUGGGACUCUUUCUUUUAGGUUCCAUUUCAAGACCUAAUGGGAGCCUUCAAUGUGAUUACACAAACAAGAGGAAGUAAGAAGAAGUUCUUGAUUUUAAUUGCAAACCCAUAGACACCCAAAAACUUGCUUUUGUUUUAGUUGGAAAGUCUUUGAAAAGGGAGGAAAAUAAACCAAUGAUGGAAAGAAAAUAACUUAAAGAAAAUAAAAACUUAAGCCGGAAGGUUGAAAGGCCACGUUUUGGGCCAGGUCAGAUAUUUUUAAUUUGGCCCAGAGUGUCAGCUAAAUUUUGGGCUUUGGUGACUACAUUACUGAGAAGUCGUCACGGGUGUGAUAGCUUAUCACAAAUGUCAUCAGCCUUAUUAGAACCUUCUUCAGAGCUGACAUCCCUGAUGACAAAGCUGACAGCUUAUCACAGUCGUGAUAGCCCAUCAAAAAAUGUCGUCAGGGGCACUUGACUGAAUACAAUUGACUCUACCUUCUUUGAAUUAAACCCUAACUAUAAAAAAAAUUUUACUGGAAUAUAAAAAUUUUGGGUUGCCUUCCAAUUGCGCCUGAUUUACUGCUGCGGCACGACUUGGUUAUGUUGACUACUCAGACUUUGCCAAGACAACCUAUUGAUACCCUUUUAUCGUUUUCAUAGAAUACCUUAAUGAUUCAGAAAAUACUCAUCUCUUUUUGUUGAGUCAUAGAUGAGUGUAUUUUGAAGCAUGCUUCUUUGUCAUUGAGCCGGAACGUUAGCUCGAUCAACUCCAUGUCUACUAGUACUCUCCCAGUUGCAAGUAAUGGCCUACCCAAGAUAAUGGGCACUUUGAAAUCCAUCUCGCAAUCUAGGACUACAAAAUCAGUAGGCAGAAUAAAAUCGACCACCUUUACCAAAACAUCAUGUAAUAUGCCCACAGGCCGUUUCACAGACCUAUCUGCCAUCACCAACCGCAUAUUUGUUUGGGUAGGAUUCCCCAAACCUAGUUUCUUAUACACAGAUGGUGGCAUUAGGUUUAUACUGGCUCCCAAAUGACAUAGUUCUUUUGUGAAUUUCAGGGAACCAAUAGUACACAGGAUAGUAAACGCUCCCAGAUCUUUCUUUUUCUGAACUAAAGACCUUGUAGAGAUAGCACCACAAUGAAGGAGAUUCUCCUCCAGCUCAUGGAUAACCUUCCAUUUCUUAGUCACAACGUCUUUCAUGAAUUUUACGUAUCCUGGAAUUUUCUAAGGUGCCUCAACCAAAGGCACAUUUAUUGUAAAUUGCUUGAGCAUUGCCAUGAAUUUGUUGAAUCUUGCAUCGUUCAUUUUUUUCUUAAAUCAUUGAGGAAAGGGAGGUGGUGGUAUUGGGAUAGAUUUCAGCAUUACCUCCUUUUCCUUCUCUUUACUUUUCUCUGGAGCAUUAUCAGAAUUAUCUAGCUUCUCCGACUCCACUAGAUCACCUCCUUCCGAUUCAUCAAAAACUACCUCAUCAUUUAUAGAUUUGCUUACAAAAGGGCUAGGUAACAUCUUACCACUUUUAGUGGUAAUAGCAUGCCAUGCAUGAGCCAUAAUUCUACCAAUUCUGGACCGUAUCACUCGAUAAUAUUUAUCUCUUCCUCUAGUUGAAUAUUAUGGAAAAUUUGCUCAUCUGCUGCUCCAACUAUUUGAUUGUGGUAGAGUGGGAGUGCACCAACUGACUGAUAGAUAUCAGAUCAGUCUUCAUGGUGGUUACACUAGAGUUGGUUGCCUCCACUCCCUUCAACAACUUAGCCAUCGUGUCCUUUAAGGACAUUUUUUCAGAACUUAUUGAACCAGCCUCAUGAUUUCCAGGAGGAACAUAUAGCCCACUCCUGUCAUUGUUAUUCCUCCAAUUUCCCUGAUCCCUAUCUUUAUAACCAAGCUUAUCAUAGUAAGUCUGACCUUGAUUCCUUUGGCUACUGCCUCGAAAUCCCCUGAUUAUUAACAUAGUUCGCUUGUUCAUCAGCAUCAGCAUCAACUCUAUCUAAGAUCCCACAAUAUUUUCCUUUUCAAUCUUUCCUGAUAGCAAGUUCUUGAUCAGCAAGUCCAUCUACUUCUUAAGGUGAGCCAUGUCUUGGUCAUGCUCAUCUUAUUUUCUGCGUUGUUCUAUAGUAAUACCUACAUAAGCAGCGGGGCUAGCUACCACAGAGUCUUUGGUAUGCCAUGCCCGACUCUAUUUGGUCAUUCUAUCCAGCAUAUCUGAAGCCUCUAGGAAUGUAAUAUCAACAAAUGAACCACCAACGAUAUUAUCUAUAAUUGGCUUUGUAAUAGAGUUAAGGGCCCUGUACAAAGUCUCCAUCAAAUUUCUGUCCAUCAUGUUGUGGUUCGGACACUGUGUCAAGUUCUUCUUGAAUCUCUCCCAAGUGUCAGGCAAGGCUUUAGUCAGGAGCUGACUAAAGUUGCUGAUCUCAUCCCACAACUGUACCCUCCUUGAAGGCGGAAAGAACUUUUCUAGGAAAGCUUCUUUCAACUUCUUCCAAUUGGCUAUAAAAUCGGGUGUCAGCUCAUUUAGCCAUAAUGUUGCCUCCCUAGACAGAGAAAAUGGGAACAAUCUCAAUCUGAUAGCGUUCUGGCCCACUCUUGGAUUAUCAAAAGAUUUACAGAUGGUGACAAAAUUCACCAGAUGCAAGUUCUGGUCAUCCCCAGGAAGGCCACCAAACAAUCCCUUCAAAUUGAGGAGUUGGAUCAUAGUACUCGUAAUGUUAAACUUGGCCCCAGGUUCCAAUGGUGGAGGAAUGAUUGCACCCGUUGCACCUGCCCCAUCCAUGCCAUCAUUAUCAUCAUUGGGAUCAUACUGGACCGGAUGGUACUCUUGCCUUUCUCGGAAUGGACGGUUCCUGUUAACAUUACCUCAUAAUAGUGCAGCUAUCUGCUCUGAACACCUUGGGUUACCAGGAUUCACCAACUUCUCAUCUCCAAAAUAUUCAUCCUCAAUGUUUGGAUGUUGUGCCCAUUGCCCGACAUUUUGCACAUUCACCUGAGAUCUAGCUAAGGCUGCUAGUCUGUCAGCUUUUUGUUGUUCUGCUAUUCUUCCAAUUUGUUGCGAUUCUGGAUUGAGUGGUAAAAAUGGUUCUCCAGAACUUCUGGUUCUUGGCAUACACUGUAAAGAUCUUGCAAAUAAACAAAAACAACAAAUAAACUCAAAACUAGGAAACUUAACUAACAGUUAAUUUGUGCAUACAAACUACUGUUUACAACCGUAUUCCCCGACAACGGCGCCAUUUUUGAUAACGCUGAAACUACACCUCUUAAUGAGAAUGUAAGCAAUCAUUGUCAAUAUAAAACUCAACUAGGUUGGGGUCGAAUCCCACAGGGAAUAUGGUCUGAACUCAUGUCAUUUGCGAUUUAAUCCACUGAUAGUUUAAUGUAUCCUGAAAUGGGGGGUUUGAGUUUAACAAGUAAUUAUUGGUCACUUCAAUUUCAGUGUUUGUAAUCAAGAGUUCAUCCAAUAACAAGAAUUAUGUUCACUAGGGCUUCCAGUACUUGACAGAUGCUAAUAGUGGUUCAAGAUUCUCAUGGUAGGUAGGACAACAAGUUAUCUUUAUUGAAGUUAUGCUUAAAUGUCUCUCAACCAAUUUAAGCAUUUAAUUACCUAAUUCUCUCGGACUUAGGGCAUUUAUAUUCACUUCCCAAAUUUUACCUCAGGUUAACUAACCUUGUUAUAGCGCUGAUUAUUAAAUGGAGUUUUUCCAAGUCCCUGUUGAUAAUUUAUUUCCCACUAUAUUUGAUCUCUUUCUCAAGCAAAUCAAAGCAGGUGUUGUCUAUUGUUUUCAACCAACAACCUUUAACUAAAACCUCAAAAUUAUCAAGAAAUCCUACCACCUUUAGAAUCUUGAAUACUCAACACCUUAUCAAGACCUAACCCUAGAUCCCAUAAUUCAGGUGAAUGAAAUUUAGCCACUCAAAGUGCUACAAUCGAAACAACGAGUUGUAUUCACACUUUGAAAGUUAAAAUUACCAUAAGAAGAAUAAUAACUAGUGAAUCGCAGAUUAGAUCACAAAGGAAAUCCGAAAAUAAUGAUAAUAAUCUAUUCAAAGUAUUUGCUUUUUCAAGCCAAAAGUAGAGAGAGAAAAUAUCAAAGUAUAUUGUCAAAACUCAAUAUGUCGACUCAAAAACCCUAAAACAAUGAUUUUAAAUAGUUCACCCUAAUUAUGGAAACAAAAUAAUAAAAUUCAGAAAUCUCUUGGAUCAGGUGACGACAUUUGUGACAGCCUAUCAGGAGGCUGACGACUUAUCAUAAAUGUCAUCAGCUUCUUCUUUAGUUUUGGCUCUUCCUACUUAAGGCUGAUGACAAUCUUGAUGACUUAUCAACUCCUUGAUGACCUAUCACAAAAUAUCGUCAAGGCUCUGCUUCAGUACUUUAGUGCUGCCUUAGGUUGACGACAUUCUUAACAGCUUAUCAGACCCUUGACGACUUAUCACAAAAUGUCGUCACAGACUUCAACUUAGGCUAAUUCUCUAUCUAUGGCUGACGAUGACCUUGAUAGCUUAUCACAAGGCUGACGACUUAUCACAAAUGUUGUCAACCACACUUUUCUUCUGAUUUCAACUUCUUUUCUUCUAUUCUUAUUCGUUCUCUAUCAUAUCAGCUUCUACUGCAAAAUCAAACAUAAACCAAUAAAAAAAGAUAAAAGUUGCUUAAGACUUCACAAUUAUUCUUAGUUAAAAGCCUCAAAUGUGUUAGUGUUAGCUCACACAUCAAUACUACAAACCAACUCAGAAUCUUAGCACGAUAUGUAUGAAAAAAAUAAAGAACUCCAAAGAAUGACGCAUAGCCUCCCGAAGAUUGGAAAUGGCCAUCAAUGUUUUGACCCGCAGGACUCUAUUAGAAACUUGCUCUUGUACCAAUAAUACCAGUAAAACCUAGGCUCUGAUACUAAUUUGUCACAUCCCAAAUUUUGAGUCAUGAUGGCACCUACCAUAACCCACUAGUAGGUAAGCCGACACCAUAACCCGGAGCUAAUGCAAUGGGUUACCUUGGUAGAAACAUCCAACAUGGACCCUAUGUAGCAACACAAUAUAACAACAACAUUCUACAAACAAAAUUACUAACAUUCGAAUACCAAUACCAUGACCUGGUAGUAUAAGUACAAGAGCAACUCUAAAUCUGACAACAAAAAUUAGAAUUUGAAGUCUAGAAACUUAAAUAGUCUUAUACAACUGUCUUGAGUACAAAAGACAAGUAAAGAAAGAAUAAAAAGAGGGAAACUCAAACUCCAAGAUCUCGCCCUAUCCCCUGAUGAUCAACACAACACGAUCUCGACUCAACAGUGGAAACUAGAACUCAGGUUUGCACCAAAAAGGUACAUAAAUGCAGUAUGAGUACCAAAACACGGGUACUCAUUACGCAUCAUCGGCUGACUGAGCUCAAAUAUGAUAUAAAGAUGAGAUAAAGUAAGACAAUGAUCUUAAUGUCAAGGGGUAGGAUCGAACCUGAAUCUACUUUAAUACUACUGUAAGAACAUCUAUACUACUAAAGCAAUAACAUGACAUCCUGUUUCAAAAUACUCCAUAAUCACCAUAACAACUGAGAAUCAUUUUGAAAGAGUACAGUUAUAUACACAAUAUCAAAACAUCUACUUUAUAUAAUCAUCAUUAACCAUCUUUAGACCAUAAACACAAGAACUUACCACAACGUCCACUAUCAGGAAGUACACGAAAGAGAGCACAACAAAGAACGCAUCACAACAUCCCAUACCACCGAAGAAUAUAUAAAAGAACAUCAAACAAGAACUCAUCACAACAUCCUAUACCACCGGAGAGUACACCAAAGAAUACAACCAAUAAUACAAUAAAGCACAACUACUCCAUCAAUUUAACAAAAAUCGCAGGUAGCAUAACCCCGCCAUGGGUCAUUACCGAAAUCCACUUCCAAUUACCCAUACCUUAAUUCAACAUAAAGAAAGCAACAUUGUCAUAGCAUAGGUUUGUAAUCAUUAAUUCUAUAAUUCAUUGAUAAAUACUGCGAAGUCCACACUACUUAACCUUAUUUUUCCAAAAGUCAAAAGAUUACAAGUCUUAAAAUCACUAGUAAUCAAAUUGGGGAAAAACUACAAGACACCCAUAGUAUAGGUUAUUCAACUAUCAUAAGGCCAUUCUUUAACUAGGAUCAUCAUUACAUGAGUUAUCAACUAAGCCAUCUCAACUUCACAUGUUAGGAGAUAAUUUAACUAACCAUCACGCAAUACUAGAUCCAUCAUCACUAAGCAUGUCACAAACUUAAGGACUAGUUUCCAUAUUUUAAUCAAGUAAAGUCCACCAACUAGUUUACUAGGUUUCGAGGUUUCAAAUAAUAAUCAUAUACUUUAGAAGUAGCUAGUUAUCACAUAAGCCACCUUACUAGGCAAGAUUUCAUAGUAUAACCUCUUAUUCAAGUCAAGUAUAUAUAUAGGUUAGCCCUUGAAUUUUUUAUGAAAGUUUACACAUAACGCUAAGCCUUAACUUAAUAUUAGACAUAAAUUUCCCCUAGUAGCUAAUUUAGCAUCAACAAGGGUCACACCUCUUAUAUAGUUAUUUGGAACAAGAAAUGAAUAAUAAUUUACCAGGAGAGACCUCAUAAUUCAAGCAUAUAGGUGGUUGGCCCCAUAUGGCCUAAACUUACAAAUAUCAAUACAUAUAAGUAAAUUUGGCCCACACAGCAUCAUUAUGUUCUUACCUCUUUCGGAUUCAUCAGGCAUCAUCACAAUAUUGACAUAUUUCUCUGAAUUCAUCGGGAUUAUCAUAAUAUCACACAUUCCUCUAGAAUUGAACCGGGCAUCAUCAUAAUAUAACAUAUUCCUCCAAAUUCACCGAGCAUCAUCAAAAUAUCACAUAUUCCUCCGAACUCGAAUCGGGCAUCAUCAUAAUAUCACAUAUUCCUUCGGACUCGAAUCGGGUAUCUUUAUAAUAUCACAUAUUCCUCCAGAUUCACUGGGCAUCAUCAUAAUAUCAUAUAUUUCUCCAGACUCAAACUGGGCAUCAUCAUACUAUCACAUAUUCAUAUAGAGUCAAACCGAGCAUCAUUAUACUAUCACAUAUUUUUCUAGAUACAACAACAUACGUCCACAUGCAUAGCCAAACCAAUAACCAAAUACUCAAGCUCACAAUACAUAAAAAAAUAGGGAUGUGGGAUAACACUUGCCAUUUUACCUUACUAAUAAGCUUCACACGUAAUGUGAGCAUCAAUAAGAGCAUGAGUAUUUACCAAACAUUCACAAUAAUCACUUAACAAGGUUAUUCAAGUCAUGAUAAUAAGAAAAUAUGAUAAUCGAGUGCAACCAUCCCAACUUCUAUACAUAUACAUAUAGCUUGGACAAUCACUACGUAUCUAGGUCGCUAAGCAUUUACUUUGUUCAAGCUUAAGGUGGGUCAAUUCCCACUUCUAAAUCCCGAGAAUACCAAGCUUACUAAAAUAUGUCUAGCAUCUACCCAAAAUUAGGCUAAGUCAUCCAUACCUCACCAUAAAGUCUUACCAAUCCUUUCUAAAUCUAUAGGGAAAGUCUCUUCAAGAAUCCUUCCUAAGUAAACCCAACACCAAGGUCAUCUCCUAUCUAGGAAUUAUAUAGGUUAAUACACUCCUACAGAUAGAGAAGUAUACCAUUCAUGUCUACUUAGGACAACUAUAGUAUUCUCACACUAUUCAUGAGACCACAAUUAAGCUAACCAAGGUCCUAAAGUAAGUGUCAAAUAUCAUACCUUACAAAUCCAUGGACUAUAACAAUUAAUAAAUCCCAAGUUCACUAAUUAAUCAACUAUCGUCUAAAUUCCCCACCCAAUCUCGCAAGAUAUUAAUGAUUAUAUUAUAAACAAGCUCAAUCUGGACCACGAGUAAGCCUAACCUACCUUGAAUCCAAGCAAAUCAUGAACCAACGAGUUUUUCCUUUCCUUUUUGAGAAGCUUUCUCUUCCACAAGCAAUGCUAUCAACAAUAUAAUCUAAUCAUUACAACAAGAAUAAAAAUACCCAUUAUAGCACCAUUGUGCCAUGGGUUUCAAAAUGACAUCAAACCUCAAGUGGGUCCUACCUUUGGAAAAUGAGUUGCUGAUACCAACCCAUAGUCUAAAUAUUAUUAGGGAGCUAAUAACCCUCAAGAAAUUUAAGUAAAUCAAUCAUAUUUUUGGAUACAAUUGAACGUCAAAGACUUAGGAUUUUUUGGUCUAGAAAUCAAGAAAUUAAUAUCAAAUUUGAAAAAAUCUUACCUUAGAUUUGUAGAAGAAAAAUUAGAUUAACACAAGUUGCUAAGCUUCUAAUCAAUCGACAAGACUCAUUUUUUCUGUCAACAAAUAUUUAUGGCUUUUAGGGUUUUGAAAAUGCUGAAAAUAUCUCAAAAAUUGGCCAAAGGGCCUUUUUAUACGAGUUCAAAUGGGUCAGUAGGGUCAAAACUUGUUUUUCACCUACCAGACUCAUUCAGACUCUGUUUUUCACAAACGAACUAUGUAACCUUACUAAAUUUGAUAUUUUAGAUACAUUGGUGAAGUUAGAUUUGCCAUCCGAGGUCAUUUAAGCUACUUGUUGGUCCCACACCCAUAUAUUUCGACUUUUGACUUUUUGACUAAUGGGUCAAAUUAGCUUGGGUGCUGUGGGAUCCGAACCAAAAGUCUACCUAUCGUAAAAUCAAUAUUACAUAGCUACUGAUGUAGUCAAAAUUUGUAUCUGAAAUUGUUUUGGUAAAGUUUUUGUUUAGAGGCCAUUUGGAAUCGACGAAGACUUCAAAUUGGAAAAGUGGUUCUAAAAACCAAACAAACUGUCAUGUAACCGACUUAUCGAUUCCACCAAGUAACUAAUGACUUGUGACGGCUAUGAAGGAGCUCUAUAAGCAAAGAUAAGCAAAACACAGCUAAUGGCCUGGAGGUUCAUUACAAAUACACACUUGAAUUUAUUUUUGGUUAGAAAUGAUAUAAAUACCAAGUUCUUUAUCAACUACAGUAUAUGAAGGACUUUGUUGAGUGUCAACGCCUUUCCUUAUGUUAUCUUCAAGAAAAUUUUUCUUGUUCCUUCAACCUUUGCUAUUGUGGAGUUAUCCAUAUAAAUCUUCUCCUCAUCUUGAGCCGAAGCAUAAGAACCAAAAAACUCCUUGUUGGCACAUAUGUAGCAUGUGGCACUGGAAUCAAUCCAUCACUCUUUAGGAUUACCCACCAAGUUACAUUCUAAGAGCAUGGAUCAUAGAUCAUCCACUUUAUUUUUUGAUUCAGCCAUGUUGGCUUGAUCCUUCUUCUUGACUUUCUUUGGGGCCCGAUAAUCUAUGGAUUUAUGGCCAGCCUUGCCAUAAUUAAAGCAAUUUUCUUUGAACUUUUUAUUUAGAGGAUUGCUUUGUUGUUCAAAUGUUUUCUUUUAUUUCUUUAAGUUAUUAGGGUCAUCUUCAUCAAGAUUUGCUCCACUAAUUACAGAAUUCCCUUUUUCAUCUACUUUGUUAUCUUCUUCAGUAUGUAACCUCACGAUGAGGCCUUCAACAGAAAUUUUCUUUUCUUUAUGCUUCUAGUAAUUUUUAAAGUCGUUCCACAAAGGUGACAACUUUUCUAUUAUAGCCACUACUUUGAAAGCCUUAUUCACAAUCAAACCUACAACAAAGAUUAUAUGAUUGUUAAAAAGAACUUUAAUAUGUUCAAGUAAGGUACUCACUAUGUUUAUACCUUCUGCUAGGAGAUCAUGGAUGAUCACUUACAGUUGUUGCACUUGAGAGAUGAUAUUCUUACGGUUUGUCAUCUUAAAUACAAGAAAUUUUGCAAGAAGAACUAUUUAGUUCCAGCAUCCCCAGUUUUAUAUCUUAAUUCCGAUGCAUCCCAUAAUUUUUUCAAGGUUUUUAGACCGCUGUACACAUUGUACAGAUACUCUUGAAGACUACUUAGUAUAUAUUUCUUACAUGAAAAGUUUGAGCCUUUUCUUGCCUGCAUUACUAUAAAACGUUCCUUGUUCGGUAUCUCUUAGGGAAAUUGUUUAACAUUUUCAAAGAUAAACCUUUAAAAACUUAGAGUCGUCAAAUAGAAGAACAUCUUUUGCUACCAACGUUUGAAAUUCACACCUGGAAACAUUUUGAAUUUUUUUGUUGGUGCCAUAGUGAGCGCGACACUCGUAUGGCUUAUUGUAGCAACAGUUGUAGUUGCUAUACUUGUCUUUUUACCAUUUUAAUGACUUUCAACAGGCAUUUUUUCUGUCACAAAAAGACAACCAAUUUAGUAUGUCAGAAGAAUACUAACUAUAAAGUUUUAAAAACUCUAAGCACCAACUUGUUUCUAGUUUAACAGUGAAGUUUUUAUGUUUUUCAAAUCGUCAAUCGAAUGAACUUUAACUUGUGGUAAAAUUUUUAUAUCUUUAAAUCACUAUUAAGUUCAAACAGAGUAGAAAUUCAAAUUCUUUAAUCUUUAGAAGCAUAAAAAUACAGAGAUUUCAAUGAAUCAGUGAAGUAUUUAUAUUCUGCAAACCAAAUUCCCAAAUUGAUUUGUCGGUUAAGUUUUUAUAUUCUAUCUGUAUUGAUUAAUCAUGUGUUUCAAGGCAUCCCUAUACAUCUAUUAUCAAAACUCAAUCCUCCUAAAGGGGUACUAAGGCAUUUACAUAGCAUCUUUGCUAUGUUUUUCCGGAAGAACACCACAGAUAAGAAGAGUAGACAUUGGGUGAGUUGGGACACUUUAUGCUUACCUAAAUUAGAAGGAGGUGUUGGUUUUAGGUCUCUUUUUGAUGUUUCUAAUGUUCUUUUUUGUAAAAUUUUAUGGAACUUGAGGAGUAGACCUUCACAAUUGGGAGCUUUUAUGACCAACAAAUAUUGCAAAAAAGCUUCAUCCAGUAUUGACCUAAUGUAGGGGAGAUUCCCCUAUAUGGAAAAAGCUAAGAUUUGACAGAGAGCUCAUAGAGCAUCAAAUUUGGUGGAAGAUUGAGAAUGGGAAUUCUAGUUUUUGGUAUGACUUUUGGACUACAAUGGGAGCAUUAUAUCACAUUAUCGCAGAUAUAGGGGAUGGGGAAAUUGAAGUUAGGAAUUUUACAACUGUAAAUAGGUGGAAUGAGCAAAGUUUGAGUAAAUUUUUCCCUAAAGAGAAUGUAGAUUUCAUCAUUAAAAACAUCUGAUCUCCAAUGCAAAUAGAUAAUCUAGAUAAAUAGUGUGGAUGCUUGAACCUAGUGGAAUUUUCUCAGUCAAGAGUGUGUGUGAGUAUACUAUACAAAAGGAUCAGAAAGAAGACAUAUUUUAAUAUUUAUGGAGUGAUAAGCUGCCUUUUAAAAUAUCUUUUUUCACUUGGAGAAUGUGGAAAUUCAGGGUGCCAGUGGAUAAAAUAGUGCAACACAUGGGUGUUAACAUGGUUUCUAGGUGUUGGUGUUGCACUAAUGGUUACUAAUGUUGCAGGUAUAUACAUUGAAGGCUUACAGUUAUCACAAGUGAUCAUUAAAUGGUGGCCAAGAAAAUGUUGUUCAAACUUAAAGCUACUUAUGAGAGCUAUAUCAUCUAUAAUUAUUUGGAACCUAUGGAAGAGAAGGAAUAGAUUAAAGCAUUGAAAUACAUCAUCAUUUACUCAUUUAGUUUUCAAGGUCAACGCUAACCUAUGAAGACUCGGGAGAAUUCUACAUCCAAAAAUACAUGAUUUCCCAAUACACUGGUAAAAUAUUAUGGUAUAUUAAGAGAACCUUAAAGCCAAACUAUUUCAUCUUCCAAUUUGCUGGAAACCACUGGAAGGAUGUCUAAAAUACAACACUGAUGGUAUAUCAAGAGGCAAUCCAUGUAGGAGCACCUGCAAUUUCUUCUUGAGGAACUUUGCAGGUGAUUUAAUAUAUGCUCAAGGGGAAAAAAUUCAGGAAAGCACAAUUCUAGAAGCAGAAGCCAUGGCAAUAAAAAAGGCUCUAGCACACUGUGUGACAAAAGGGAUUACUAAAGUUAGUCUGGAAAUGGAUUCACUAAUGAUGAUUAAAAUUCUUACAAAAAUGUGAUUACCUUGGAAUAUUAUUGGGAUCGUGGAAGCAGAACAGAAAUAUUUAGAACUAUGUCAGGUUCACAUCCAACAUGUAUACAAAAAGGGUAAUUAUUUGGUUGAUUGCUAGCCAAUUUAGCUUUUGAUAAUACAGGUAGACUUGUCUUUAAUUUCUUCUCAGAAUUACCAAGUCAUGCCAGAAGGAUUUUGAAUCUAGAUAAGCAUCAAGUGCCAAAUUUAAGAAUUCGUACUAAGGAAAUAGUUAGAUAUAAGGAUGGGUGUCAAGGAUCCGUCACAACAAUUAUAAGAUGAGUUCAAGCAUUUUUAUUUUCUUGAUGUAGAUUAGUAUUUCUAGUACCUUUGUAGAGGAACAAUUCAUUUCAAAAACCCAAUUCAUAAGGGCAUUUAUAGAUCUAAAGUCAUUGUACUUGAGCGAAGAAUUAUAGAAGACAUGAUUAUAAGUCUUGGUACAGAUUCAAACUUCUUUGAGUCGUCACAGAUGCAAGUCAAAGCUAUAGGAAAACACACAGAUAUAAAGAUAAAUAUUUGCAAAGGGAAAGCCAACUUAUACCUGGAAAAAACUCCAAAAAUCUAUUUGAAGCAGGUUGUGGUCGGUUAAUAAGAAGCUCGCCGGAAGUCUUUCGCUCCAGGAGCUCAUCACCAAACAUUUUUGUUGCUAAAAAUAUUAGUAGGAAAGCCAAGAAAUAAAAAUAAUAUGGGAAAGGAGCUUACAUUUGUUUCACAGCAGGUCAUCACUUUCCUAUUUGCUCAAAUGAUGGAAGAUGAUGGAGAGGAAUUAGCAGAGCUUCUGAUUCAUUUGCCUCUUCAUUUUCUUACUUUUUGUAUUAUUAUUUCCAAGGAAAUGUAUCGAUUGGGAUGCUCUUUUUUUUAUGGACAUGGUUUUAUU
rnacentral:lncRNA from 1 species